UUACACUAAGUACAUAAGCUUCAAAUAACCAACAAUACUCAAAAUAUGAUAAAAUCCUCUGAAACCUUGUAUAUCCUUGUGUGGAAUUUUUUUCAAAUUUCAACACCUCAUAUCUCCUAAUUCGACCAUCCAAAAACACUCAAAUUUUACAUGAGCUAUUGAUGUAUUCUUAUUAAUUUUUACAAUAAAUUUCAAUUACAAAUUCAUUGCAGAUCUUGAGAUAGCUUAAAAAUCCUAAUAGUCACUUUAAACCCUUGUCUUUAUACAUCUACAUUAUUGUAAUACAUGAAGUCUUGCUUGAGAAUGCUCCACGCACCUCGUUGUGAAAGGUAGAAUGGAAAUUGCAACAACAAAAUCCUAAUUCUAAUAGAACACUAAUAAUGCUAAAUAAGCUUUAAUCAAAUUCAGAGAAAUCUCAAAAGAAUUUCAAAAAAACAAUAAAAAAACUUAAAGAAAUAUUAGAACGAUUACAAACAUAUCUCAAAUACAUUUUAAUUCAAUCUUAAUUUAAUCCUAGUUGAAAUCUUAUUAGACUUCAUUCAAACUUUAGGCCAAAAAUUAACUAAAUCUUAAAUCCUAAACAAACUCAAAUAAAAUCCUAAAUCCUAAAUCAAAUCCUGAUCAAAUCCUAACCAAACCUUAAAUCCUAAACCAAACCCUAAAUCCUAAAUAAAAUCCUAAACACUAAUCAAAUCCUAAAUUCUAAACCAAAUCCUAAUCCUAAAUCAAAUCCUAACCAAAUCCUAAACCCUAAACCAAAUCCUAAUCCUAAAUCAAAUCCUAACCAAAUCCUAACAAAAUCCUAAUCCUAAAUCAAAUCCUAACCAAAUCCUAACCAAAUCCUAAUCCUAAAUCAAAUCCUAACCAAACCCUAAUCCUAAAUCAAAUCCUAACCAACCCUAAAUCAAAUCUUAAAUCCUAAACCAAAUCCUAACCAAAUCCUAAUCCUAACCAAACCUUAACCCUAAUCUUAAAUCCUAAACCAAACCCAACCAAAUCCUAAUCCUAAAUCAAAUCCUAACCAAAUCCUAGUAAUUUCUACAAUACAUUUAAAUCUCAAUAACUAAUGAAUGAACCGUUGAUCUUAACUCAAAUUUUGCACACUUCUUAAAAAUUAAGUUGAAAAUAAGUAAAUUUUUUUUUGAAAAGGAUCGAAAUUAUCAAAUAGACGAUAACCUCAAAAACGUGCUUAGGUAUUGGUCGGCCUCCUUCUCCAACCUUGAUGCCAAUCUCUUAGAGCCAAUAUCUCUCUUUUUCACCAUUCGAUUGAUUUAAAAAUCUUCAUACACAUAGAAAAAAAAGUCUAAUAUCCUUUCUCAUAAAUUACACUCCAAACCAACUUGUAGAUUGCAAGAAAUCUUGAAAACCCUCACUAGACCUAAAAUUCUACUUACUAAGACCUUGACUCUUUUAAACCUCAAUAACCUUCAAUUCAACCGUUAGAUCAAGCUAAGAUUCAUAAUACAUAUUAAGCAUACUUAUGACCAUUAAUCCACAAAAUUUCACCUAUAAAUAUAUUAUAAAACUCUUGAAAUCACUAGAAACAUCAACCCUAUUUUAUUUCACAAAAUCCAAGUCAUCCAAAAAUAAUCUUGACUUUGUAAAGCUCUUAUAAAGUCAUAACAACUCCAAAUCAUCCAAAACUAAUGCUCAUAGAAACCUUAUCCAAUGUGGUAUCAAAUUCCACUCAUCGAUCUACCAAAGAGUCCUUGAGUUGUCAUCGAGACUCGGUUUUGUGCCUUAGGAUCUGAUUUCGACCAAGGUUGAUAAUCGGCCCUCUUCAGGUAUCAAUAUCUAGUUUUUUUAGAUAAUUUUUGCUAGAAUUUACUUUUAACUUCCUCCUAAAGAUGUCUAUAUCAUUUAUUUUUCUAAUAUAUCUUGUUUUGCCUUAUUUUUGGCCCUACAAAGUAAAGAGAAGCUAUUUUUUAAAAAAAGGCAACAUUACUACUAAAAGUUUUAUUACCUUCCUAUCUUUUAUCCAUAUUUUUCUACUUUAUCUUUUAACUUGGCUCUUCUAUAAUAAGAUCCAUAUUGUUAUCUUUCACCAUGUAGUCAUGUUACAACAUGACAACGUGUAAUUUUCUUCAUAUCUCACAAAAUAUAAGCUCAAAUGCCACGAAAUUUAUAUGUAUAGCUUCUUAACACAAAAUAUUAUAUUCUCCAAAAUGUUUGAGCCAAAAUUUUGUCCAAAAACUCAAGUUAUGGCUCCAACCAUUACUAUAAAUAAAACUGCUCACAUACUGCCUUUGAUUUGGAAGCACUGCCUUCAACUCCCUAUAACUCUUUCACGUGAACUCUAAAAGUAAUAAUUCUUUUGUAAAAGAUGUAGGCCUUAGAAUCUAUAUUCCAGCCACAUCUUUCGAUCUUCAAAAGCUAUAUUAUAACUUCUCAUAUUCUCAAAAGAGUAAUAAUAUGUCUUAAAUUAAUACCUUAACUUCAAACGACUAUAACUUCUUCACCCUAACUCCAAAUCUUCUAAUUUUUGCAUACAAAUUGUAGUCCAAAUCCUAAAAUUUAUAAUCCUAUCUUCUUAUUUCCAAACGCCUUCUUUGAAGUCACUAAAAUCCUUAUUAAGAUCGUAGGUAGCCUCCUCAAAGUCCAUUGGGCAUAGUAUUCAACUAAUAGGGAUGAAGUUCUCUAAUCCUUGCCUUCAUCUGACCAUGCCUUACUUUCAUCCCUCCCAAUCAGUCUCUUAUUAGUUUAGAUUUUCACCUUUAAGCUUCCACCUUCUUCCAAAGCUUCAUACUAAAUAUUUAGGUCCUAUAUUUUUUUAAUGCCAAAAUCAAAACAAGUAAAAUAUACAAAGUAAAGUUUCUUAAACCAACUCUUUUUAAUUUAAUCUACUAAAAAUUCUAACACUUAUUUAGAUUUAUUAAUAUAUAAUAUGUUUUAACUAAUUUUUACAUAUUAUAAGUAUUUAUAGUAUGACAACAUUUGUUAUCUAUGCAAAUCCAUGAUCAUAACCUAUGGUUGUUACAACAAUAAUUUUAGAGGUGUAUAAGGAUUUUAUAGAUUUUUUUGAAAAAAAAAUAUGCAAAUAUCCUACCAAAGUAUCAUCCUUACAAUUAUAUAAUUGACCUUCAAGAAGGUGCUCAACCACUGUUUGGAUCCAUCUUCAAUUUAUUCUAGAAUGAAUUUAUGACUUUAAAAGAAUAUAUUGAUGAAAAUCUAAAUAAAAAUUUUAUUUGACAUUCUAAGUUGCAAGUUGGUGGUCUAAUAUUAUUUGUAAAGAAGAAAGAUGGAUCUUUACAGAUGUGUGUUAAUUAUUGUAGUCUUAAUAAAAUCACAAUGAAGAAUUGAUAUCCAUUUCUACUGAUAUUUAAACUUUUUGAUCAACUUAGUCAAGAAAAGAUCUUUAUGAAGAUUGAUCUACAAGGCACAUAUAACUUGGUACAUAUUAAGAAGGGAGAUCAAUGGAAGACAACACUUUGUAGCAAGUAUGAACAUUUUGAAUACAAUGUUAUGCCUUUUUAUUAGGAAAGCCAAUGGUUGUUCAAAUUGACCAUUGACCCUUGCUACAUGAUUUGCAUCUGAAAAAUAUGAAAUUAUAACAUGAUCAUUGAGAAGAACAAUUGCAACUUUUUGAUAUCUAGCUUGAGUAUAAGCAAGGGCAACAAUAUAUUGUAUCAAACAGCUUAUCGAAGAGAUGAGACUUAAAGGAUAAAUUGAGAGAUAAGGCAGAAAUCUCUACCACUAGUAGUGUCAUUUUAGAUCUAACCAAAGAGACAAAAUGGAAGAAAGAUACACAUUGGAAUGCUCAUUUCAACAUGGUUAGCGAUUGAUUAAAGGUGGGCAAUAUACAAUAUUAAGAUUACACUCUUGAAGAUGGCUUGUUUUAUUUUUAAAAAAAAAAUUAUAUAUCCUACGAUGCUAUACUCCGGAUACACAUACUUGAAGAGGAAUAUAACAUUCUAAUAUCUAGUCAUCUGGAAUGAGAGAAGACUUUAGAAUAGAUCUCAAGGAUAUAGUUUUGGACAAGUUUGGAUCAUGAUGUUUAAGCCUUUAUACACUCCUACGAGUCAUGUCAACAUAAUAAAGCACACAACAUAGCCUCUCUUGAAUUAUUCCAACCAAUUCUACUAUCUAUAAUAUGUUGAAAAUAGAUGACUAUGGAUCUCAUUAUGUCUUUAUCAUAGAUGCUUCAUAAUUAUACUACAAUUGCCAUCUUUGUAAAUUGACUCUCAAAGCAACUUUAUUUGGCCAUUGUACACUUGGAUAUUGAUGUCUCAAUGCUUGUACAAGUUUUCUUUGAUAUCAUCUUUUGUCACCAUGGAUUAUCUUGUGUCAUCGUUUCAGAUCGAUAUCUAUACUUCAUGAGAAGUUUUUUUGCAAGUCUUGUUCAAGCUAUUAGACAUAUAACUUGCCAUGUCUAUAGCCUUUCAUCUCUAAACAAAUGAGCAAAUAAAGCAUAAAAAUUGGACCUUGAAAGAUAUGCUACAGGUAUUUGUAGUGGUUCAUUAUAAUAAUUGGGAUGAAUAUUUGAUGUCCUUGAAGUUUUCUUAUAAUGAUAGUAUUCAAGCAAGUACUAAUCAUUUGCCAUUUUUUCUUAAUAUCGAUCAACAUCUAAUUAUGCUAACAAUUUUUUAUCAUCCUAUCAACAUCAACAACUCGACAAAGGAGGAAUUUAUACAACACCUUAUAAGAGCCUUAUAAGAAGCAUGGCAUCGCCUCUUUAUUAUAUAGAAUUGAUAAAAGUAACAUGCGGAUAAUCAUUGGCAACACAAGACCUUUUGAAAAGGUAAUCAAGUAUUACUCUCCAAUACCAACUUGCCACUUAUUACAUCAAUCCAAAUCCGUAAAUUAAUACUUUGGUAGCUUGGACCUUUCCACAUUUCUGCAAUGAUUCCUGAUAUCGCAUACUGCCUUGAGUUUUUGCCACAUAUUUGGAUCCAUACAGUUUUCCAUGUUUUGCAAUUAAAAGAAUUUCAUGCUGAGCCAAAUCACUUUCUGGAUUGACACCAACUACCAUCACCACUAGUUGUAAUUGAUAACUAACAAGAAUAUGAAGUAGACAACAUUUAAGAGCAUUGCUACCUUCGUCAACGCAAUGGACGUCCACAACUUCAAUACAAAAUUCUUUGGAAAGGUUAUCCUAUUCACAAUGAAACAUGGGAACCUACACAAAACCUCAUCCAUUGCCAAGAGAUAAUUUGGAGAUAUCAUUGGGAACAAAACAAGUAUAUUCUACAUUAGUGGAGGAGGAUUAAUUAUAAUAGAAUAUAGAUAAGAUAAUUGUAUAGAUAAUUAAAACCAUGGAAGUUAUUAGAAUUGAGAUUAGGUUAGUGGACCAAGUAGGAUCCAUCAUAGAAUAUUCUAAAAAGAAUUUAAGAUAAUUAUUUAAAUGGGGCCUAUCAUAGAACUUUCUAAAAAAAGAAUUUAAGGUGAUUAUUUAGGUAGAAUCGACUACCUAGGAAUAUUUUAGAAACUCUAGGAUGGUAGGACAAGAUAUAAAUAGGAUUGGCCAAGGCCUUUUGAGGCAUUUGGUUAGGUAUGGCUUUGGACCCUUUCUCUUAGUAAAAUUUGGUUUUCCAUCUUUUUGUUCAGAUCUAUUUUGUUCUAUUUUCAUUUGCUCAAUUUAGUCUUUUAUGUCCUAUUUUGUUUAGUUUUAUUCACUUUUGUUUUGGUCUAUUUUGUCCUGUUUUGUGAUGAGGCUUUAUGUUAUUAUAGCUUAGAAGGAUCUUGGAUUUUUGAGAUAGUCUAGUCUUAUUUCAAAUAUAAAAUCAAUCUCAAUAAUAGCCCUUUUAAACCAAUUACUUCAAAAUAGUAAUCUAACCAUAAUUUGUGACUAAAUAAAAUCUAAUAAUGUAGAUGUUACUACAUUGUAUAGUAAAUUAUAUAUUAAAUAUUUAUGUGUAUUAUUUUUACAUAAUAGCUUAACUACAACAUGACAUCAUCAAAAAGGAUUUUAUUUAUAUUAUAAAAAAUCAAAACAUAUUAUUUAAUAUUAUUUAAAGAAGUAAUAUAAUCAUAAAAUAAAUAAAUUAACUAUCAAAGAAGACAAUAUGUUAAAAAACAAGUUUGUCCAGUUAUAAUAAGAAUCAUGUAGCUAAAAUCUUAUACAAUAUCUAACAAAGCUCUUUUUCUCUCCUCAAAACCCUCUCCUUGUUUUACAAUAGAUGUUAGUUUAGGACCUAAAUAUCACAAAGCUUCUACCUUGUUAGAUUUAAGAGCCUCACCUUAUUUUUUAAAUGAAGAGUUUAUUAAAAAUUAUAACAUAUCUUUAAUAAAGAAAAAAAACUUCUUCACAUAGAAGUCAUAGAUGGUCAUCCAUUGUCCUUUCGAGACAUUAUUCAUGAAAUAUUUAUUUUAGAAAUAGUAACUAAUGAUUAUAUUAGUUUUAUGGUAUUUAAUAUUAUUAGAUAUCUUUUUAAUUUAAUUAUUUUAGAUUUAUUAUGGUUAAAAAAGUAUAACCUUUAAAUAGAUUGGAUUUCUUGUCUUCAAGCUCAUUAUGACUUUCCAAUAGGGAGGACAUAUUGGAUAUAAUAAGACUUUGGAACUAAUAUCUAGAGAUUUUUGGUGGCUCCAAAUAUGGAAGGUAGUUAAAAAUUUUGUACAAUCCUAAGAUAUUUGCUCAAGAUCAAAAACUCCUUAUCAUGAAUCUUAUCGACUUCUUCAACCAUUAUCUAUUCUAAAAUAACUAUGGUCUUCUGUUUCUAUGGAUUUUAUCAUAGAUCUUCUAUUCUCAGAUUUUCAUGAUUCUAUAUUUCUCAUAGUAGAUCAUUUCACUAAGAUGGCAUAUUUUGUAUCAUGUAUAAAAUCUAUCUUUGAUGAAGAAACAUCCAAACUUUUCUUUAAUAACAUCUAUUACUAUCAUAGAUUGUCUAAAGAUAUUAUAUUAGAUAGGAGAAUUCAAUUUAUAUCAAAACUAUGAAGAUUCUUAAGGUAGACAUAAAACUAUUUCUAACUUUCCAUCUUCAAACUAAUGGACAAACAGAGCAUGUAAAUCAAGUUUAAGAGUAUAUUUGAAGUAUACUAUCAACUACCUUUGAAGAUAACAAAGAUCAAAUUGUAUAGCAAAUACAAUUUUUUACAUCUUAAAUUACUUUGAUAUGUGAUCUUUGCUCCUUGUGGACCUUGUCAUCUUAAGGAGGGAGUAAUGUCAUAGAUAUAUAUUUAUUAUAAUUGUUACCUAUGUGAUAUAAAUAAAUAGAAGAAUGUAAAAGUAGAUUAAUAUCUUCUAGAGAAGCUUCACAAUAUUCUAAUUCACAACUUAUUAACUAGCUUCCAUUUUAAUUAUUUAAGUUGUCUUUUACUUUGUCUUAAAUUCUGAGUUUGCUUAACUAAUAAAAAGCCACUUACACACCACCAAAAAAAUAAUACAAGGUAUUCAAAUAAUUCAAAAAAAUUUACAAUUAAAAGACAAUUUUUUAUAUGAUUUAAUUUAAGUCUAUAUAGUUUUUAAUUUAUAAAUAUAUAUAUAUGUAUAUAUAUAUAUAUAUAUAUAUAUUGAAUUUAAAUUUAAAUUUAGUAUUAAAUAUCAUCCAAUUUUAAUCAAAUUCCAUCCAUGAAAAUUCAUCUAUUCAGAAUCCAAAUUCAUCCAUUCAAAAUCUAAUUUAAUUCGAUUGAUUUAAACUCACACAAAAUAAUUUAUUUUAACUCAAAUUCAAUGAUGUAAAUUCAAUGUCUUGCCCACUUUUCAAAAUCAAAUUGAGUGUUGGAUCUUAACCACUAAGUCGUUGGCAGUCUGAAGACGGUCCACAGCAACUCUGAUGACUAGCUUCAGAUCAGGAUGCCAAAGUCGCACUAAGAAGUUGGAGGGUCUGCUGGCUAUUCACUCGCUGUCCUUUCGAAAUAAUACUCAUCACCGGUUGAUGGUAGAAUUUGAAGCCCCUAAAAAUGAACAAUGGCAACUAACAAAGGUCGAUCCAACACAACAACACCCCCUACCGCUUGCAGGAGUCCUUUGCCUCUUCUCCUUCUACAACAAGGCCUCCAUCCAAUUGAAGUGUCGACCAGAUCGAAACUAGUCACGCAAGCUCGGUUCAAAUUUCUACUGCCGUGUCGAUCUGGAUCCGCUACCAGAACAGCCGCUUGUGCUCUUCUACUGAACGGGACGAUGAAGAAGAAGGUUUUUUCUUUUUUUUCCUGUUGUUCUGGGUGCUCCUUCGCCACAACCUUUGACUUGAUUUUUGUGCUUUACACAACCGUAGUAAAAGGCUCUCCACAGUGUAGUGAAGUCUUUGUGAACGGUCGGCCCGGCACCAUAAGCUAUGCCUAUGGCUGAAUUGGUUUGCACUUUACACUGCACCGCCUUCCUCAACCUUCCUAAAUUCUCACCAAUUCUGCUCCAUCGCAAGAUAUCUUUACCAAAAUGCCACCUUCUUUGAGCAACUUUGACCAUGUGCCUCUAGACAAUUUGACCUUCCUAGUGACUUUGAUGAGUUCUUAUGAAUUCCAAAAUCCAAUCUGCUUCCUAUGAUCUAACUGCAACUCCUUAACUAAAUGAUUAACUAGGCAUGCAAAAUAUGCUCCAAUCUACCUGCUUAAUCUACGCAAGCCCCCUCUACGUAUCCUCUUUGGUGGAAUCUUGCAUGCGGUCUGUGUUGUUGUAGUGGCCGAGAAUUGUUUAAUCGUUGAUGCUUGAACCCUGUUCUGAUCCUUUGUCGCACUUACAACUCUCCAAUUCAAGAUCGUCGUGAUUGACUUCCAAUCGCCACUUCGGCUUGCUUGCACAGCGACAAUUUUUUUAAAGAACGCCAAUCUAACUAAUGCAACUGAUUCUUCACUCCGGCCAAUUUUGUAAUAGUUGAACAACCAAAAUAUUGUUGUACAAUGGCUUCGUAUACCACACAAUUUUUUUCUAGGUCGCUGUAGUCUUCUGUACUAUAACACCGUAAUGCCACUCCUACACCAAUACAAAUCCACGAACUAGAAAAAAAUACACUCUUUGGCGCUGCAACCACGCCCUUAGCCAACCGAGCCGUCGAUUGAUCACACCGGAAGAAAAAAAGAACGCGCUAGUCGUUGACUCCAGCGACGCAGCAUCGCUACUCUGCAAGAACAAAAAAAAAAAAAAAAAAAAAAAAAAAACAGAAAGGAUAACAACUCAAGCCGAAGUGGGUAGGGUUGGCUCCACAGACGUCCAAUCACAAUACUAGAAGAGGAAGGUAAACCACCACACAGCACCAACCGUCGCACACCGUACCACCGUUAGAACCCGCAACUACACAAUUUGUGGAGACUGCAAACUAAGGAGCCCCUCAACGGCUUUCUAUUGGUACACUGCUCCAAAAGCGCUUGCAACACCGCUAUAAUAACAAGCAAAGCACUACACACUCUAGCCGCAGCAGACACCCGGAUUCCAGAGCUUCCGUCGUCAGCCAAAAAUCAAAUCAGAGAGAAAAAAAAACAAUGAGGCUGGGACACACUUCGCUGGACUUUGGCAGCCUCUUCCCGGAGAACAAGGAUCUCAUCCUUAUUUCGGGAAUUCCAGCAAGUAAGAUAUUUUUUAUUUUUUUUAUUUUUUCCGUUUUUUUAUCUUAUAUCUUUGAUCCCUUUUUUUUUUUUUUUUUUUUUUUUUUUUUUCUUUUGGAUUGACUUAUUGGAUUGACUUCGAUCAAAGAUCCUUCUUAGCUUCUAAUCUAAUUAAAUAAUUCAUGAUAAUAAAACUAUUAUUUAAAUACCAAAUUUUAUAUUAGUUAGUGUAACAAAAAAAUAUUUGCUUUAGAAAUUCUUCUCAAAAAUUCUUCUAGAGCCCCUUCUUACAAUUGCCAUUCUAUUAUUUUUCUUUUUAUUUCAGUACUGCUACAUUAACUCACUAGAUUGGUGUUUUUAAGUACCUUAAGUAUAUUUUUUGUACUAAACAUACAAGCAAGUUAAUUGUGUGACUUACACUCUUUUUCUUAUCUUUUAAAAAUUCUCAUUUGAUAUUAGAUAUUGCAUAUUACCUUCUUCUAAUUUGACUUGUGAAUUUAUUUAAGUCAUUUAUAAAAAGAAAAAUUAUGGAUGCUACUUUUGAGUCAUUAAAUUGACUCAUUAAUUGUUUCAAAACAAAGAGAUGCAUUUAGAGUACUAAAUUGUAAUUAUUAGGUGAAGAUUAAUUGAGAAGAUUCUAGAUGAAGUAAAAUUAGUGUUAGAAUAAGAAAUUAGCAACUAUAGUAAUCUAGAAGACAUAUAAGCCUUAAAGGCUUAAAAUAAAUUUCCUUCUCAUGAAAGUAUGACUACAUUAGUACUAAUUUGUAGUUUUUAAUAUUUUAUUUAUUUCUAUUAAUUCUUUUUUUCCUUCUUUUUUCUAUUAGAUAAAAUCAAGCUUGGAUUCUCAAAGGAGAACAUUGACUUUUAGCAUUCUCUUAACUUCUUAAAAAUACUAAAAUCUCCAAAGAUUAGUAGAAUCAUAAUUUUUCAAAGUCUAUGAUCUUUUAGAAAAUUUUAAAUUAAAUUUUGUGGCAAAACUUCUAUAAUUUCUUUAAUAAAAUUAUAAUACCAUUUAGUAACUAACUUCUAGAAUUUAAAUAGACAAUUAGUUUUAGAAUGCUAUAAAAUCAUGUAAAUAUUACAUUUUGGCAUGGAUUUGUGCAAGCAAGGAAGUAAUCUUGGAAUAAAAAUAUAUUUUGAAUACAAUUGUGACAUGAAUUUGAUCAAAAUCAUAUUCAUUGAAUAAUUAUAAAGGCUUCCAAGACUAAAAUCAGAUUUAAAUUUAAAAGGCCUUGUAAACCAUAGAUCUUAAUUAGGUUUAUGGAAUCUCAAUGGUGGAGAUGUGGCUGCCAUUUUUAGGGCCUCAAAUACUUGUAUAAAAGGGUUGGGCAGCCAAGCCCUCUUUCAUCCUCUUCCUUUUGUUGAUGGGCAAAGCCAUGCCAAUUUUUUCCAACGUUUCAUAAGAAACUUGGUUGUUUCAAUUUUUUCCUAUUUUAAUUUAUAGGAUCAGUUUUAAAAUUUUAGAUAGAAGUAAUCAUUUUUGUUGCAAUUUUUUAUAUAUAAAAAUCUUAGAAUUUGGAAUUUGUAUAAGGAAGAAACCUCUAAUUUAGUAAAAGGUAGUAUUUUGUCUUCACAAUUUGGUAGCUCUAUUUUGGAAGGCUCAUCUCAUUGCUUACAAGUUGUAAAGCAACAAGAAUUAUUUUGCUAGAAAGUUGAUAAAAUGUAGUUUUGAAAAAGCUAAGAAUCAAUUAUAUUAGAGCAGGAUUAUAAUAGGGGUAUUGAUUCUUGCGGUAGAUGAUUUGCUACCUCUGAAUUCAAGUGGCUAAGUAAAGGUACAACUUUGGAGGACAAAAUCAAGAAGAUUAACAUAAUCCAAGAGCUCAAAUUUUUGGAAGAAAGUGCUAUUUGCAGUUAGAAUUUUAACAAGCUUAGAUUUACUAAAAGGCAAUCAAGGACUAAGUUGUAGGCACUCUAUUUUGUAGAAGGGGAUUUGAUCCCUUAUUAAAUGAAGCAUCAACUUUGAGGGACAAUAUUAGAAUUACACAACUAAAUUUGAAGGUAGAAUUUAGAAAAUGGAUGCAUCUUCAAGUCUUCUUUCUAAUAAGAUUAAUUGGAUUCAAUUUGAAGGUUGCAAUCAAUCGUGGUAUAUUUAAUUGUGAAAGUGGGAGUAGCAAUAGGUUUAGAAGUACCAACUAUAUUGGAUUCUUACUUAGACAAUAUUGUAAGUCCAUUAGUUAGCUAUUAUGGAUAAAUUAUUUGGAUGGAAUUUGAUGAUGAAAUUGAAUUCUAUUAGAUGAAAAAUUAUAUAGAUGAAGUUAAAUCAAAUUGGAUGAAUUUUGAUGAAUAAAAAUUUAUUUAAGUAGAUGAAUUCUUAUUUUUUGAUGAAAAAUCAUUCUUAGAAAAAUAAUGGACGUAAAUCAAAUGCUAAUAGAAUUUUUGUUAAAAAAUUUAGAUAAUUAAUAUCAUUGUGAAUUGGAUUAGACUUCCAACUACCAAGAGUUUAUUUUGGUUCAUACUAUUCAUAGAAAAAAUAAAUGUUGAUUUGAAACUAUUAUAGAUCUUUACAAUGUCAUGAUGAAAAAUAGUAUAAUAUAUAAAAAUCUUAUAAUAUAUAAAAAUAAUAUAAAAUAUUAUAAAAAUAUGUUUUAAAAUUAAAAAAACAUAAAAACAUAAUAAAAUAAAAAUAUAGGAAAAAAAUGUAAAGAUCAAAGAAAUGUAGUAAAAAAAAUAAUUGUGGUUACAAAUUUUAGGUAGAUUGUAUCUUGUCACAACUAAAGGAAUAGAUGGUUAGUUGAAUAUAUUAUUUUCUUGCUUGUUAUUCAUACCAGUAAUUCUAAGCUACAUGCCAUCCAUAUCAAUUAAUAAGUUUGAUAGAAAUUGAACUUGGACCAACUCAAGCAACAUAAACUUAACCAGCUAAUCAAGUUUGUGACUUAACCUAAGAUCUUGAAAUCUUUUUAAAAAAUUACGUAAUAUUUUUAUAAUUUAAGAUUAUAAUUUAUUACUUUGGUAAUUUUUUAUAGUAAUAAAAUAAAUUCAUAUCCACUAAAAAUCCUACUUUUUAUAUAAUUAAUUAAAAAGACAUGAAAUUCUCUACAUGCUUCUUUUAACCACUAAUUAAUCAUUGAUAGGAUUUUUAUAAGUAAUAAAUAUAGAUGAAAGGCCAAUGAAGAAAUUGGUCUCAAUAAUUAAUUCUUAAUAUUUAAUAAUAAGUAAAAAUACUAAAAUAACUAAAAUAAUUACCUCCAAAACUUAUUAAGACUCCAUAUUUAUGACUUUUCUUCUAAUGAGAUUUUUGCAACUUGUAAACUCUUUUUAAUUCUAAUAAAUAAUAAAUAGUCAAAAAGAAUCUCUAAGUUUAAUAUUUUUAUAAUUAAAUGACUUAAAAAUAUAUUUUUAAUCAAUCCACUGAUAAAUAUGCAUUGAUAGAACUCAUAUAUAUAUAUAUAUAUAUAUAUAUACAUAUUAGAGUACAUAUAUAUGUUUGUUGUCAUGUAAUAACAUGAUAAUAUGGUGAAAAAUUAAAAAAAUGGAUGUUAUUAAAAAAGAGCCUAGUAAAAAGAUGUAGUAGAAAAGCAAUGAUAAAUUAUAUAAACGUAAUAAAAAAUUUAGUCUUACUGCUAUUUUUUACAAAAGAAACUUCUAUUUACUUUAUAGAAGCAUAAAUAAAAUAAUUUAAAGUAAAUGAGAUAAGAAAUUGAUAUAAACAUUUUUAGAAGAGAAUUAACAAUAAGUUAAAGUAAAAAUUAUCUCAAAUUAUUAAAAAUUGAUAUUCCAAAAGGAUUGGUCAAAAUCAAAACUUGAGGCACAAAACCAUGUACCUACAGUGAUUCCAAGGUUCUUUUGCAAAUCAAAAAGUAAGGCUUGAGAGAAGACUUUAUAGAGUUUCUUUAAGCAUUAAUUAUGGGUAAUUUAAGUUUGUAAUGACUUUGUAAGAACUUUGUAAAGUUAAGAUUUUUUUUGAUGAAUUUCAUUUUAUAAAAAUAAAAAAAGAUUUAUAUUUGAUAGAAAUUUAAAAGUUUGGUAGUAGAUCCAUAAAUAAAAAUUUAUAGAUUUAUAAUUAUAAUUCUUCUUAUUAUAUACUAUAAAUUUUAAUACGAUCAAACUAUUAUAUUGAUAAUUAUUGAAAUUUAAGUGGAUUGGAAUCUUGAAAAUGGAGUUUUAAGAUCAGUGAGGAUUUCUAAGAUCUUUAGCAAUUUGCCAAUUGUAUUGAGAUAAAAUUAGUAGAUAUACAUAAUAGACUUGAUUUUCAAUAUAUUUAUGAAAUUUAAGAGAUAUUUAAUAAUAGAAUUAAGAAAUUUUGACUUAGAAAGAUUGAUAUUAAAAUUAGAAAAGAAGAUAUAUCAACACCUUAGUGGAUUUAAGGAUUUAUAAUUUAUUUGAUAUGUAUAAUAUUCUUCAAGUACUUUGUAAUUGUUGUUAACUUAGUUGUUACAAAGUAUACAAAGUUUGAUUCAAAAUCAAUAGUUUAAUCAUUUGUUAUUGAAUUUUUAAUUCGAUGUAGAAUUGUUAAGAGUUUUAUUAAGGACUGAUUAGGAUAAGGAUUUAUUAAGGACUGAUUCUCAAGUAAGAAAGUGUCGUUUAUACAACAAAUAAUGUUGUAUAAUAUUAAAAAUCCAUAAUCUCCUUUAAAAAAUUCAUCUUUAUAUCAUAAUUUUAUCAUAGCUCCAUAUUUCUACCUUUAUCAUAUUUCAAAAGUCUUGACUUCCAAAAAUCCCUUUAUUUUGCAUAAAAUGCUUAAAUUAUAGAAAAAUCCUUUUAAUUUAUUUUUUUUUUCCACAAUUUUUUUUUUCUCUAAACUUUAGAAUUUUAUAUCUCUUGAUUCAAUUGUUUUAUUUUUUAAAAAAAAUUAGAUGAUGUGAUAUAUAUUCUUAAGCUUUGAUAAUGUAAAUAUUGGACAAAUAAAAGAUGUUACCUAAUGUAAGUUGCAAAUGGUUAAAAGAUAGAAAAAAGUAAUAGAAAAAUUACCUAAUCCUAAGAUUGAGUAAUUAAGAUCUUAUACAAAGUCCUUAAUAGUAUCUUUGGUAUUGUAGAAGUUUUAGUGAGAAAGUGAGUUUUAUGAGUUAAAAAAAAAAAAAAAAAAAAAAAAAAAAAAAAAAAACUUGAUGGUGAGGAUGAUUGGAGUCCACAUACUUGUUAGAAUCUUUGAAAGUUGAGUUGAGAGUGUUUGGAAUGAAAAAAUACUCAUUUUUUCAUAAGAGGGUAUUCUAAGAUUUUGCUAGUGCAAAAUUAUUUUGGUGAUUUUAAGUACAUAGAGACUUCUUUUCUUCAUAUUUUUUAAAAGACCUAUUCUUAGACAUGGCUUCUAGUGAAGGUGAAGAUUUGAGAGUGAUUGAGAAGUUUAAAGGUGACAAUUUCUACCAUUGGAAGAUAAAAAUGGAACUUUUUUUGGCAUCUUUGGACCUUUGGGACAUUGUAGAUGAAAGUGAAGAGCCUCUAAGCAUGCAUGUUGAUGCUAAGGAGAGAAAAGACUUUACAAGAUGUGAAAAGAAGGCUUUUGGCAUAAUUGCCACCAAUUUGGAUGAAGCCAAUUUUUCUUACAUCAUCUCUUGCAAAGAACCUCCAGAAGCAUAGAAGACCAUUUGCAACAUAUAUGAAAGCAAGAAAUUAUCCAAUAUCAUCUUUAGAAGAAAGAAAUUCUUCACUUGUAAGAUGGAAGAAAGUGAUGACCUCAUGGCUCAUGUCAAUAAGGUAAAGGCCCUUACUAAUGAAUUUGCAAUUAUUGAUAAGACUUUAGAAGAGAUUGAUAUUAUCAUGACCUUGCUUGUAAGCCUUCUCAAGUCCUAUACCUACUUCAUUAUCGCAUUGGAAUCCAUCAAACUAAAAGAGCUCACAAUAGAUUAUGUGACAACAAGACUUACUCAUGAAGUAACCAAGAGAGAAAAAAAAAAAAAAAAAAAAACCUCAAAGUGAAGAUUUGGCUCUUUUUUCAAGACAAGGCAAGGAGACUUAUUAUAACCAAUGUCGCAAUACAAGAAUUUGCUUCAUUUGUAGAAAAUUAGGUCAUUUUGCUAGAAAUUGCUACAAGGCUAAGAAAAGAGAUAGCAAAAGUGUAAACAAUGCUCGUGAUGAAUAUGGAGGUGAUGAUUAUGCAUUCAUGGCAAGUGAAGGUACUUCUAUGGCUGCCAUGUUCAAGUAGAUUGUUGAUUUGAGUGCCACCAAGCACAUGACUCCAUACAAGUGUUCAUUUAACAUUUAUGAAGAAAUUUCAGCAACAAAUAUACUCAUGGGAGACAAUGGCUUAGUACAAGCUAUUCAAAUGGGCUCUAUUGUAGUAAAGAUUGUUGUGAAAGACAAAAAUAAGAGGAUUAGAUUGAAGGAUGUCUUAUAUAUACCAAAGAUGAAGAAAAACCUUUGUUUGGUAAAUAAACUUGUUUUACAUGGUUGUAAAGUAAAAUUUGAUAAGAAUGGAUGUUUUGUAAAGAUAUCGGAAAGAGAUGAUGUUGCAAAAGACAUUAGAGAUGGCAACCUCUACUUCAUCAAGUCUAAGAAGGUGAAUAGAGUUGAAGUGACAGCAUUUACUGAAUUUCUUCAAGAUCAAGAUAAGUUUAGUAUUUGACAUCGACGCCUUAGUCAUUUGAAUGCAAAGAGCAUGAAGGAGCUCUAAUCCAUAGUAAGUGACUUAGAUCUUAGUCAUAUAAGCUACAAUGCUAUGACACUUGCUUGUGAAGGUUAUAUUCAAGGCAAAUAACAAAAGGCUAUAUUUCCAAGUGGAGUUACAACACAUGCAACCAAGUUCUUAGAGUUAGUCCAUUCUGAUGUUUUUGGACCUAUGAAGAUACCAUCAAUAGGAGGUACAAGGUACUUUGUCACAUUCAUUGAUGAUUUUUCAAGGAAGGUAUGGAUUUUCAUCCUCAAAGCAAAGACUGAAUGUUUCAUAAGGUUUAAGGAAUUUAAAGCACUUAUGGAGAAGCAAUGUGAGUGCAAAUUCAAGAUAUUGCAUACAGACAUGGAGGUAAGUAUAGAUCAAAGUAAUUCAAUGAUUUCUUCAAGAUGCAUGGUAUUGUAAGAUAAACCUCCACUCUUUACACUCCACAACAAAAUAGAGUUGCUAAAAGAGCAAAUCGAACUAUUAUGGAGAUGACAAAGAGUAUGCUUCAUGUCCAACAUCUUAGAUAUGAAUUUUGGACGGUGUCAUAUUACGUGCUUUUCUGCUCGAGAACGCACCGGGCGUCUGGCUGUAGAAGGUAGUAUGGAGAUUCGCUAAUAUUCAAGCAGUCUAUCGGUUUUUGACUAUUAGAAUAUAAACGAUUACAAGAAUAUAUCAUAAAUCUAUACGGAUGUCCUUUGACUGCUCGCCGAAAUCCUUUUUACCCUAGCCGAUAGGUCUCUAAACGUUACAAAGAACCCCGAACAACCCAAUCUGCUAAUCUCCAAUACCGCUUUAUAUUCACGACCUUGUAUCCACUGAUUGUCUUGUUAGAUUAAUCCAAAAAAUUUCAUUCACUCCGCAUACUCAAUCCUAUAGACACCCUUUUAAUUCUUCAAUCACAAAUAUAACUUUGAUUUUACAAAACAGUCAAGAGUAAUUACACCCACUUCAUUAAAACCCCGAUUCACUAGUACAAUACAUCGACCUUUUAGCAUUGAUCGCCAGAAGUCCCUUUUUUGACCCCUACCCAAAAAUCUUGUAUCUUCUCUUUUUCUUAACCUCCCUAAUUCUCGAAUCUCUGAAUCCUCUCCUCCACCCUAACCAUUUCCGAAUGUUUUUUUUUUUUUUUUUUCUCUUUUGGAAAAAAAAUUAAUCCAGUUCACCAAUAUAACACUGACUUUCAGCAACGAUUGCCUCCAUCUUUCCCAAAAUCCUAUGAAAAAAAAAUCCCAAUUCUCUGUCUUUUUUUUCCCCCCCCCCCCAAAGCAUGAAGUUAGCUCUCCGACCCUUAAAACCCUAAUUCUCUCCUUCCUUUAUUUCUUAACCUAUCCUCCUCUUUAACCGUAAUUCUCCCCUCUUUCAAACCCUAGCCUCUGAAUUUCUUCAAUCUUCCGUCUUAGAUCCAGAAUUGGCUCCACCGUCAGAGCUUUCUCAUCCAUUUUUUACCUUUUAAAAGGUUCUUUUUUCAGAAACAACAUUUCUUGAAAUGGCACAGAGAAUAGAACAGCCUGAAACGAAAUCGAAACCCCCGUAAUCGAGACCACAUUGAGUCACUCGACCAAUUCAGGUCUCAUAUUAGCUAAGAAGCUUGUAGUAAGACCUGGAUGUUCCCGUAAUUGGGUCAAAUUGGUCCUUUGCAUCAGGCUCGCUCAGUCAUCAAUUUAGUCCUUUCGAUUCUGUUGACUCCCACUAUUGGACUCAAAUGGAGCAUUUCGUUACUGAUAAGUAUGCCCUGACCGAUUGUGACGAGGUGUCUGAAACUGGCCUCUAAAUAUUGGCACUGGAAUCAGUCAUUACUCCUAAUAUUCGAGGUAACUGAACAUUAAUAAAAGUCCCCUUUCUUUAUAUUUUCAUGGUAUACUCGUGUUACAACACAACAUCUACCCCCUCUGAACCAGUGCAUCCUCCGGUAUGCACCAAAUUAUCCAAUUGCUAUUUGAUUUAUAAUAUAUUCUCUACGUCUUUGUCCAGUUUGUCUUCGUCACCUUCAUUAUCCAAAUCACUUUCAUCUUCUUGAUGAAGAAUCUCUAUACCUUCAUUAAGAUCUUCCAUAUUCAUUUCUACAUUUUUUUGUUUAAAUAAUUUCACUCUCUUCACUGUAAUUGGUAUUUUUAACCUUGUGCCAUCUAACUCCCGCAAUGAAUAAGUCGAAUUAUCAUGAACAAUUGUUACCACAUACUGUCUAAACCAACAUUUUGAAAACUUCCGUAAAGUACUAUAUUGGUUGUCCAGACUACUAUCAUAAACAAGCACCCAAUCACCUUCUUCAAUUGCUUUAGGUCUCAAUCGAUGUUGCUUAUCGAAUCGAGCCUUCUUUUGUUACGUUGAUCUUUUUAACCUUUAGAAUGCUAUCUGCACAUCUUCCGAUCUUUGCUCCAAUUGUCAAAUCCUAAUAGCAAGAAGUUCUUCUCUUGUCAAUCCAUCUUCCCACGAUAGCAUACUCCAAGUAAGUACAUUUUUUUCAAUCGACAUAAUUGGUUUUCGACCUGUCAUAAAUUCUACUGGCAUAUAUCAUGUCAUCGAACUAUGUGUUGUUCGAUCAACCCAUAAUGUAAAUGACAAAAGCCGUGGCCACUCUCUAACUUUCCCAUUACAAGCUUUAACUAAUGCUUUCACAAUCGAUAGGUGACCACGUUCGUUUUUUACAUUCUCUUUCAGAUUAUAAGCAAUAGUCAGUGAUAAUUAAACUCCACAUCUUUCAAAGAACUUACGAGCUUCUUGUGCAUUUAAUUCUCCAUGAUCUGCAAUGAUUUUUCCUACGCAUCCGUAGCAGCAAAUGACAUCUUCAAGCAAAAACCUACAAAUCUCCUCUGUAAAUUUUGUCCUCAAUGCUCUUCCUUCUACUUCAUUUGAUAAAUCUUCACGAGCUAAGACCAAAUAUCUCAUCUGCCAUAACACAACUAGCAUAAUAAUCAAAUCAACAACUCAUUUAAAAUGAAUAGUCAGAGGAUACGUACGAUGAAGACCAUCUCGAUAUCGGAUAUUAGAAUACGAUUGACAGAUUUCACAUGACUCUAAAAAUGAAAGCACAUCUCGAUACAUAUUUUUCCACCAAUAUCGUUCCUUGAGUUUAGCAAAAGUAACCCAGAUUCCUCUAUGCCCUGCCCAUAAACUAUCAUGAAACUCCUGUAAUAAUUUUAGUUUUUCUUCUUUUUUGCCUAUCACUCGUUGUGGCAUCCCAAUUCCUUUCUUCGGUCUCUUCUAUAAGAAUCCAUCUCAAAGCAAAAAUCCAUAUGUUUUUUUUCUUAUUUGUUUGAAUUUUUUUGUAGACCAAUUCUCCUGCUUAGUCAAGCUAUUCAAGUAAUGACUAAUAUCCAAUAAUUCUCCUUCAAAGGUUCUUCAAGAAAUAGCUUGUCUUCCCUGUUGAGAUUUGAUAUUGAAUAGAAUUUCAAUCCGACGUCAUCAAUGUCUUCAACCAUUUCGUCUUCUCUCUCGUAUCUUGCUCGAGAUAGCAUGUCUGCUACUAAAUUGUCCUUCCCAGUAACAUGCUUAAAUUCUAAAUUUAGUGACUUAAUAUAAGCAAUCCAUCUCAACAUUGCAAUAUCUGACAUUGAAUAGUUAGUAAUCAUUCCAAGCAAUGGCAAGCAAUCUGUUUCAAUUACUACUACUACCCUAAUCAAAUAGUCCUUUUCAGCUUUCAUAGCCGAAACAACUCCCUAAAGUUCUCUUUUGACUUGCGAAUAUGCACGCUGACGAAUACUUAAAACUUUAGCCCCAAAUCGAACUACAAAUCUAUUCCCACUUGAAUCAUCUUGACCCACAGCCCAUCCAAUGGUAAUUGGACUAGCGUCCAUAGUAAGAAUCACUAAUCUAUUGCACUUAUAAUCAACCUUCCUCAAUAUUGGAGGUGACAUCAAUAAUUUCUUCAAUCUUUGUAUUGCCUAAAAAUGCCUUUCUUCCCAUUUGAAUCAGUAGCCCUUGCGUAACAGUUCAUAUAAUGGAUCUGUUAUGUGAGCAUAAUCAGGGAUCCAGAUUCAAUAAAAUAUACAUGCACCUAAAAACCUGCGAACCUCUGUUAAAGAAUCACAAUCCUCUUUCAUCCUUCCAAUUGCAUCAACUUUAGUCAGAUUUGGUUUUCUUCUAUAAGAUCCUCAUAAAUGUCCAACAAUCACAACCUCUUGUACUCCAAAUAUGGACUUCAUAUCCGAUAAUGUAAGAUGAACUUCUCCAAGCCGAGUUAAAAUCUUUUCACAAUCUGGUAUAUGAUCAACAACAUAUUGGCGACACCCCCUCUUAUCUAAAGUUUCAUCCUUGUCUCCUUCUCUGUAUCUUUUUAUAGGAACAUCAUCCAGAAAAGGCAUAGUCUUCUUCGAAAUAAAAUCUCUCAAUACCUUAUUCAUCCCAUUCAUCAUAUGCUUAACUGAGUUGGUCGCGCCUUGAGGAAGAGUGCACAUUCUAACCAAUCCAAGUGGUGUUCUCAUUGUUGUCAUAUCUCUACUUCCUUCGACAAGUUGAAAUUGAUCAUAACCUGAAUACAAGUCACCCAUUGAUUAGAUCGCCUUUCCAGCAAAUACCUCAGCAAAUUCAGCUACAAUAGGUCCAAUUCCUGCAUUUCUCACAGUUACCACAUUCACCAGUUGCAUAUCUUGAAUAAAACGUAGUGACCCAUUCUUCUUAGGUACUGUAAACCAUCGACUAGAAUACGGCGCAAAUGAAGGUUCCAAUAUUGUCAUCUUCAUCUUUUCUUUUAAUAGUUCCACCAAUUUAGGUAAAUGUGCCCUCGGUACUGGAAUCCAUCUUAGAUUCCAAGGUACAUACGGUACAGUGAAGAUAACCAUAGGUGUUACAUUAUUCGGAUUCACAUACCCAAUUUCAUAAGAUUCAAAGGCAAACGAUCUACCUUGUUUAGCCAACAUCUUUUUGAAGCAAGUAAUUUCUUCCAGCAAUAAAGAACCAUCAGAACCAAUCUUCAAUUCUUCAAAAGUCUCUUUAAUAAACUGAUGUCCAAUACUCAUUGGAUCUCUUAAACUUGCUUCUUUUGAUGCUUCUCCCAUUUGUUCCUUAGAAUCUUCUGAUAAUGGUCCGGCAACAGGCUUUACCUUCUUAUCUGUCGUUUUAUAUCUCCUCUCUACAGUGACCUCUGAUGCUUGAAAAGAUUCAAGUAUGGUAUAAACCUCUCUUGAAUGAAUCUCAACAAUCUUAUCAUUAUCUCCUAACCCAAUAGAUGUAAUUAAUUCCAAUGAAUCUUCUAAUCCGUUUUCUUCAUAAAUACCUAAAAUCCUCUCAUCAACUUGCAAUGUACCUAACUUGCAUAAUUUUCCUUCAAUAUUAUAUAAUCUUUUUCUUUCUUUUCUUUUAAAAUCAUCAACUUUUUUAUACAUAAUAUUUCCAUUUUCCAAAAUACCAAUAAAACUCGCAUCAAAGGCACCUUCAUCUUACGAGAGUACCUCCUCUUUUGCACCUCCAUAAUCUCGCUUUAUAGUUGUACCUCCCUAAAAUCCUUAAAUCAUUCAACAAUCAUUGGCAAUGGUUUCUCCCUCAACCUAUCUCGAUUCCGUUCAUGGUUAGGAAGUACUGUUAGAAAUUGUACAGCUUUCCUCCCAUCUUUGCUAUGUACCCUUGCAUAAGUAGAACCAUCUUCAAGUACUUUUGUUUCCAUCCAUGUUGCCGUAAUAUAAGGUUGUCCUAAAAUCAACGGAUAAGACGUUGUAUCUUGAACAAAGAAAUGUUGCUCCGUCGUAAUAUCUCCAAUCCAAAUUUUGACAUAAAGACAAGCUCCAUAUAUUUCACCCUAUGUAUUAUUAGCUGCUCGUAUUGCCUAUCCAUGUUCCAUAUCAAUUGGCCAUUUUUGCUUCUUAUAAAGAUCUUUAGACAUAAGAUUUAUUUCAGAACCAUGGUUGACUAAAGCAACAAUUCGUUCUUCUAUAUCUCCUACUUUCACCAAUACCUCAGUAGUUGCCUUUGCCCAAUGCUUUUGAGUAUAAUGGCUCAAAGUUUCCAUUUCCUUAUCACUAUAAUCUUUGAAAUGUACUCGUUGAUUAUACCCAUUUUUUUUCAUUUGUUGGUUGCUUGUAACUAAUAUCAACCUCUUCUUCAUCUUUAUAUAUUUUUGCAUCAAUAGCAUGAUUCAUUCCAAUUUCGCCCAUUAAUUGCCUCUUUUGCUUAAUGCUGUCAAUGAUAACAUCAUGAAACUCCUUCUUUACAAUUUCCAAAACUUCUUUCAAUAUGAAUUCCACCUUAGCAUUUAAUAUACAUUCUUCCAAUACCCCUUUCAAAUUUGUUGCCGCUUCAAUGUCAGAAAGUAGCUUAUAAGCAAUUGAUUUGCCCUUAUCUUUUGUCUCCCUUGUUUUUUCUUCCAAUGAUGCUGAGGUAUCAUUUAUAGGCAAUUCUUAUGAAGCUGCCUCCCGAGCCAUGUCUCCUCGAGUUUGCCUCUUAGAAGAAUUUCCUUCUCUUAUAUCAUCAAAAUUUCGUUGUCUCUUUUCUUCUAUCAAAGCUUUAUGUUGGCUCUUAGCAAUAUAUGCAUGAACUGAAAGAGACUCAAUAGGAUCCUUCCAACCUGUUGCACCUCAUAUUGUAGCUGCAGUCCUCAAUAACGCUUCUCGAGGUAAUUUCCCUUCUUACAUUGUAGAAAUGGCAAAAGUCCAAAACUCACUAGUUUCCGUACUUCCACCAAGGUCAUCAUCUACUCUAGCACCAUAACUUGCACUUUCUUGUGCUGCUGUUUCAUGCUCUUUUAAGUAAUCUUGAACCAAUGCUCUCAUUCUUCCUUUGCCAAAAUUGGUUUAAAAAAGAUCCUCCCUAUCUUUUAAUGCUAUCUUUCCAUCUUUUUAGCAAAUAAUUUCUUGCUGUAUCAUAUUAUUAAAUUCAUUGCAAUCUUUCCUAGUGUGUAAAGCAUCAUUACACCAAAUGCAUCUUUGUACAUAUCCUUGUUUUGAAACAUUCUUCAAAUUGUUUGUAGAAGUAUUUUCUUCAAGUCUUGCCAAUUUGAUUUGAAGAUUUGGCAUUCCUCGUAUAAUUUCUUCCAUCUCCAUAUCUGCUUUCUUUGAUAAGGAUGUCGAAGGUUGAACUGUAGGCAUUGUUGGUGGUGUUGUACAUACUGGAGCUUUGGGUGCUUGUACUGUUUUCAGAAUAUUACUCCUAUCCUUCCUCCUUUCUCUUCUUGCAAGCAACCCUACCGCAUCUUCAAUAUUCUUCCACUCUGUUGUCAAUCCUUCAUCUUCUUCUUUGUCUUCAAGAAGGAGUUUCAAUUUUCUUUGUAAUUCUCCAUCAGUAGCUUGAAGAAAUAGAUCAAAUUUAUUCGACUCCAAUGUCAAUUUUUCUACCUUCGAUAAUUGAGAGUAUUGCCUCUCAAAUUUCCUUAGUAGCUCUGUUGCUUGCAAAUUCUUAUUAGGCCGUUCAAUCCAUUCCAGAAACAACUUCUUAGUAACGUGAUCAACAUCUUUCAAGAAAUAUUCGUCUUUCAAUGCAUGUGAAAAAACCUCCCAUGAAUUCCCAUAACAAUCCGAAAUCGAUGUAAUAUGGUCUCUUAUCUCUGGUAUCGUAGCAAGUCCAAAUAAUUCAACCAUUUUCUUCUCAGAAACUUGAUUUAAUUCCAUUUCACGAACAUAACAUCUUAAAUACCUUGAAAUAUUCCUUCUAUUAAAUUGAUCAAUUUUAUUGACCACUGCUUGCAAUGCUUUAGUUGCCAAAGCUUCCUUUCGAUUAUUGCUUUGUUGUUGCUGCAUUGAUAAUGAGAAGGCUUAAAACAUACUAGCAAUAGACGGAUCCAUGUCCAUACCUUGUCCUUUAGAAGAACCUCCACCAGAAACUCCUUCCAAAGAUCCUUCAGAAUUUUUAUUUUCGUUCUCUUUAAAAAUAAAAAUAAAAUCAAACAAAAUCCAAUACCUUCUACCUCAAGCUUUCAUGUCGGGUUCACCACUUAUGUCGUAUUACGUGCUUUCCUACUCGAGAAUGCACCGAACGUAUAGCUGUAGAAGGUAGUAUGGAGAUUUGCUAAUAUUCAAGCAGUCUAUCGAUUUUUGACUGUUGGAAUAUAAAUGAUUGUAAGAAUAUACCAUAAAUCUAUAUGGAUGUCCUUUGACUACUUGCCUAAAUCCUUUUUGCCACAAUCGGUAGGUCUCUAGAUGUUACAGAGAACCCCGAACAAUCCAAUCUGCUAAUCUCCGAUACCGCUUUAUACUCACGAUCUUGUAUCCAUUGAUUGUCUUGUUAGAUUAACCCAAAAAUUUUCAUUCACUCCACAUACUCAAUCCUAUAGACACCCUUUUAAUUCUUCAAUCACAGAUGUAACUUCGAUUUCACAAAAUAGUCAAGAGUAAUCACACCCACUUCAUUAAAACCCCGAUUCACCAGUACAACACAUCGACCUUUUAGUAUUGAUCGCCAGAAGUCCCUUUUCUGACCCCUACACAAAAAUUUUGUAUCCUCCUUUUUUCUUAACCUCCCUAAUUUUCGAAUCUCUGAAUCCUCUCCUCCACCCUAACCAUUUCCGAAUGGUUUUUUUUUUUUUUCUCUCUUUCGGAAAAAAAAUUAAUCCAGUUCACCAAUAUAACACUGACUUUCAGCAACGAUUGCCUCUGUCUUCCCUAAAAUCCUAUGAAAAAAAUACUCCAAUUCUCUGUCUUUUCCCCCUCCGAAGCAUGAAGCUCGCUCUCUGACCCUUAAAAUCCUAAUUCUCUCCUUCCUUUAUUUCUUAAUCUAUCCUCUUCUUUAACCUUAAUUCUUUCCUCUUUCAAAUCCUAGCCUCUGAAUUUCUUCAAUCUUCCAUCUUCGAUCCGGAAUUGGCUCUGCUGUCAGAGCUUUCUCCUCCAUUUUUUGCCUUUUAAAAAGUUCUUUUUUUGAAAACAACGUUCCCUGAAAUGGCACAGAGAACAGGACAACCUAAAACGGAAUCGAAACCUCCGUAAUCGAGACUACAUUGAGUCACUCGACCAAUUCAGGUCUCAUAUUGGCUAAGAGGCCCGUAGUAAGUCCUGGAUGUUCCCGUAAUUGGGUCAAAUUGGUCCUUCGCAUCAAACUCGCUCAGUCAUCAAUUUAGUCCUUUCAAUUCUGUUGACUCCCACUAUUGGACUCGAAUAGAGCAUUUCGUUACUGAUAAGUAUGCCUUGACCGAUUGUGACGGGGUGUUUGAAAUUGGCCCUUGAAUAUUGGCACUGGAAUCGAUCAUUGCUCCCAAUAUUCGAGGUAACUGAACAUUAAUAAAAGUCCCCUUUCUUUAUAUUUUUACGGUAUACUCGUGUUACAACAUGACAAUGAAAGCAGUGGUAAAUGCAAUAUACAUAAGAAAUAGGUGUUUUAUAAGUAUACUUACAUCAAUGACUCCGGAAGAAGCUUGGAGUAGAAAAAAACCUUGUGUUUCCUACAUGAAGACCUUUGGAUGCAUAGCAUAUGUAAAGACACCAGAUUGUAUGAGAUCAAAUUUGAUGCAAAAGAUAUAAAAUGUGUGUUUGUUGGAUAUUAUGAAGGUACAAAUGCUUAUAGGUUAAUGUAUUUUGAGACCAAAAAGAUCAUCAAAAGCUAUGAUGUUGAAUUUUUGGAAUACAAGAGUACUUGUGAGCACUUAGAGAUGUGUCCAAGUAGGAGUAAUAGUGUAUUUGUGGACAUAUCUUCAAAUUCAACAAAGAAGGAAGAAGUCGAAGACAAUGAUGGUUGUAAAGAUGGAAAUGAAGAUGAAGAAGCAAAGAAGGUGGAGAAAAAGGCCUUUAAAAAUACUAAAACAAGCAAUGAAGAGCAUGAAGAUGUUGAUGAUGAUGGUGAUGAAGAUUAUCAACCUUUGACUAAAAAAAGAUUAUCUACAAAAGAAAAGAAGGUUCAAUGAGACCAUAGAAUGCAACAAGUUGAGGCUUCUCCAAAUGAAAGGAGGUGUCCUUUGAGAGAUAGAAAACAAUGUAGUGAAUGGUGGAAGAAUCACAUCUUUCCUCAAGUAAGUGAAGAACAUGCCAAUGUUACAUUUCUUGCUAAUCUAUUGAAUUUAUGUAAUGCAAUGAAGUCCACACAUUCUUUGAAGUGGGAGAAAGCUAUGGAAGAAGAUUAUCAAUUACUCAUGGAUAAUGGAACAUGGAAAUUGAUUGAACUUCUACCAAAUCAAGCUUCAAUUGGUUGUAAGUGGGUGUUUAGAAUGAAGAAGGAUGCAAUGAGCAAUGUCGUGAGGUAUAAGGAAAGAUUAGUUGCUCAAGGCUAUUUACAAGUUAUUGGUAUUGAUUUCAAUGAGACAUUUGUUCACAUGGCCAAAUUCACCACCAUUAGAACCAUUGUGGCAAUUAGGGCAGCAAUAGACUUAGAGAUGCAUUAAAUGGAUCUGAAGAUGGCUUUCUUGAAUGGAGAGUUGGAAGAAGACAUCUACAUAGAUCAACCUCAAGGAUUUGUUGAAGAAGGCAAGCAACACCUUAUUUGUAAGUUAAAAAAAUCCUUGUAUAGGCUCAAGCAAUCACCAAGGAUAUGGUACCAAUGCAUUGACACAUUCUUUGUGAAUGAUGGAUUUGUGAAAAGCGAUACUCAUCAUUCUAUGUAUGUCAUGCAAUCAAAAGUCUUCUUACUGAUUGUUAUUCUUUAUGUUGAUGAUUUAAUCAUCUUGACUAAUACCUUAAAAAAGAUGGAUUGGUUGAAGGUAAAGCUAGCAAAAGAAUUUGAGAUGAGUGAUUUGGAAGAGCUCUGCUAUUGUUUAGGAGUGGAGUUUGUGAGAGAUCGAGCUAAGAAGAUCAUUACGUUGAACCAAAAUAUAACAUAUAAUAAAAAUUGGCCUUAAAUUGAUAUUAGAAGUAUAAAAAUUUUAUAGAAAUUUUUAUAAUUUAUGCAAAAAAAAUUAACUGUUUUAAGAAUUAUUAGAGUAAAUUUUAAGAUUUUGAUAAAAAUAAUUUUUACUACUUUGAAAAGCCAAUAUGAAAAAAUAGAAUAAAAUUUUAGGACCAUAAAAUAUUUCAAUUUUAAUUAGAUGUUUUAGAAACACCACGAUGAAGUCAAAAAUCCAUAAAUAUUAAUUCUACUAAUAAAAAAUGGAAGGAUCCAUAGCUAGUAUAAUCCAUGUAGAAAGAGAGGUGUAAAAAUCACAUAUGGAUUGUAGCACCUUGAAUGUAGUUAGGAAGAUAAGAAUAAGACCUCAUAGUAUAAUUCUUUAUAUUGAUUUUUUCUUUUUUUGCUAAUAAUCUAUCUCUUCAAGAUAGAUAAACUUUUAAGAAGUAAAGAUAUUUAAACUUGGGAUAUCCAUAUAAUCUAGUAAUAUCCAUAUAAUCUAGCAACAAAGAGAAGAAUCAUUUGAUGUUAAAUUAGUAUCAUUCUUAACAAAAAAUUAAAAAUUAAAAAUUAAAAAAAUUUGAAAAUUAAUCAUCCUAAGUUAUUAAGAUUUUUAAGAAAAAAAUAUCAUAUUUAUUAAUAGAAUUUUUUUUUGUUUGGUCUUUAAAAUACUCUUAUAAACUUUGAAUAUGUGAUUGAAAAAUUUCUUGCUAACCAAGACUUUGAAAAAUACUAAAAAGAUGAUUUUAUUGUAUUUAUCAAAGACAAUAAUAAACAUCAAAAAUACUAAUAAUAAAUUUUAAUAAAAUUUAAUAAAUAUAAAUUAAAAUUAUACUUUAAGAAAUAUAAAUUCUAUUAAAAUAUGGUAGAGUAGCUUGGAUAUAUAAUAUAUCCAAGAACAUUAAAUGUAAUGAUUAGAAAGAUAGAAGCUAUAAUAUUUAUGCCAAGAUCACUAAAUAUAAGUUAAUUGCAUAUAUUUUUUGAAUUUUAUACUAAUUAUAAAAAAAUUAUAAAGAUAUUCAAUAUAAUUACAAAAACUUUAACUUAUAUUGACAAGAAAUGAUUAACCUUGAAUGUAGAGUAAGAAACAAGAAGUUCUUUUUAUAGAAUUAAAAAAAAUGCUUAAAAAUAUCACUAAUCUUAUAAAAAUCUAUUCUAAGAUGGUCUUAUUAAUCAUAAAUUAAUUUAAAUAAUUAAAAAAAUAAAACAUUAUUAACUCAAUUAUAUGAUGAUGAUAAAGAAUUUAUAAUUGCCUAUGCCAAUAGGUAAAAUGGCAUUAUUGAAGCUUUAAAGGUAGGCCUUAAUGAAAUGAAAAUGUGAAUUUAAAAUAAUACAUAGAGUUGAUUUAGUCAAUAUAGUUGAGAUGGUUAAAAUCUCAAUCUAUAUUAAAUCAAAAACACUCUAUAGGACCUAGAUGGAAUAUAAAAAUAAAUGAUAGACAUUUUCAAAGUAGAAUUAUCUUAUAUAACUUAUUAUCUUGGCAAAAAUUAACAACAUUAUUUAGAAAUCAAUUAUUGAAGCAACAAUAGAUAAAAAAAUUGGUAAAGAAACUAAAGGCACUAAAAAUAUUUUAAAAGAUGGUAUAAUAUUGAACUAAUUAAAGAGAGAAUAACUGACUAAUAUAUUGAAUACCAAAGAGAAUAAUAAAAUCUUCCAAUAAGCUAAAAGAUUUGUAUAGGAAGGAAGUACUUUUAAAAAGGUUGAAUGGCAAUAAAUAAGUAGUAUCAAAACUUCAAAACAUGAAAUUGAUCAAAUAUGUCCAUGAAAAAUUAGAUAAAUUUAGAAUUCAAAAGAUGUAUAAACAAUUACAAUCUCACUAUUGAUUAAAAAGCAUGCAAUUACAAGAUCAACAAUUGGUGUCAAGGAUACAAAAUCAAAGAAGAUACAUAAACUUGUAGAAUCUAUGUCAAAAAAAAAGUAACAAAAUAGAAGAAAGUAUAUAUAUUCAAGGAAGAACUAGAAUCGCUAUUGCAAAAGACUAGAAAACAUGAGACUCUUGAAACUAGACUAAAAGUAAGAAAAGAGUUGAGAAGAGUGAGGAAGGCCUCUUUCUUGCCUCUAUAUAUACUACUUAACUAAGAAUUAUGUAGCGACAUGCUAUAGGACCUCUAAUAUACAACCAAUUUGUAAGACACAUGUCUAAUUUGCAAGGUAAGUUUCCUAAGUGUAUGCCAUAUAUCCAAUUUAUACUACAAGUAGUCAAUAUGUCGACAUGUGGCCUCUUUGUUGGCCAAGUUUUCAACCUAUCAAUCACCUAUAGACAUGUAUAAAGUCAAAGUAGCAUCUGUAAAGCUUCUAGAAAGCUUCCUACAAGAUAUUAUCAUAUUUAUCUACUUUGACUUACUUCUACCUAUUCUUAUUAUCUAGAUAAUUAUUAAGGUAAAUAUGUAUGUCUAUGACAUUAUCCUCCCUUUUAGAGACAAGUUCUAUGAGGAGUAGUGAUUAUGUUGAUGAAGUCCAAGAUGCACCAAACUAUAUUUGCCACAUACUCUGAUCUUUGUUCCCUUCGAAGGUAGUUAAUAGGUCCCUUCAACCAUUGAUAAUAUCUCAUAUCAGGGCAAAAAGAUCACCUUAAUAUUUGAUCAUUAUUAAGGCCUUCAUAACUUCUUUCAAAUAAAAUAUUAAUAAUACCAUCAAGACUGGUUCUUAUCUCUAAAAGUAUCACUAAACACUGGGAGUCUCUUCCAAGGUUGUGAUAUCAAACGUAUUGUAUCUUGCCAAUUAUUCAAGAAAGAAUAUGUCGUUCUUGAGGAUCUUCAUCUCGAUUUUAUUAUCUCAAAGGUUGUAAUAAUCACAAUGUCUCAUCUAAUAGCUCAGCAAAUGAUAGCUCUUGAGUUCAAUCUCCUAGUUGUUGGUUCUCUAUCUCCUAAGCACUAAAAAAUCUAAACAAACAAUGAUACAAGAUAGAAUGAAAUCUCUAUUGGGCUUACUUUGCUUUAUAAUAAAGAAUUUUUUGACUCUUCAUCUUGAUUUUUGAUGGAUGUCGUUGAUAAAAAGCUUUAACUUUAGCUAAUAUAUUUGCUAGAUUCCUCAAUGGCUUCCAUGUGCAUUCAUUAAUGUCAUAUCUACCUCAAUAUACUACAUAUUCUAACCUAUUUUGGCAUCGCCUUAAAUCUAAUAUUUCUUCUAUCUCAAAUUCUUCAUUAUUGUCUACUUCUAUAUGAAGUGAUGGAUAUCAAUAUCUUGAAAAGAGUUCUCUAAAACCUUAAUAAAAACUAUGUUCCUCUAUCUGAUAUAAUAUUCUUUGACAAUCCAUAAUAGUGAUGGUUGUUAUCAAGGACGAGUUUAGCUGUUCCUUUACUUGAGAUAGAUUUUGUAUAUAAUACAAAAUGUGCCAUCUUCAUGAAAUGAUCUACAAUCAUGAAUAUGGAAUCAUAUAAACUUGAAAUUAGAAGGUCCAUGAUAAAAUCUAUAGAGACAAAAGGCCAUGGUUGUUCUAGUAUAGGUAAUGGUUGGAGGAAUCCAUAAGAUCAAUGAUGAGGAGUUUUUAAUCUUGAACAAAUUUCACAUAUUUGUAAAAAUUCUUUAACAACCUUCUACAUUUGAGGCUACCAAAAAUCUCUCGAUAUAAGUUCUAAAGUAUUAUUAUAUCCAAAAUGUCCUAUUACAAGGAAAUUGUGAUGAGCUCCAAAAGCACGUAAUUGUGCUUCUCGUUUUGGAAUAUAUAAGCAUCCUUUGAAAUAGAGUAGAUUCUCCUUAAAUUCAAACUUGGAAGUAUCUUGAGACUUAGAAGAAUUAUUUUUAAUAUCAUGAAUAAGAAGGUCUAAAGACAUACUUGCUUGGAUCUACAAGAAAAAAGUCAAAUCAAUAAUUAAUAUUGAUUUCAUUGCUUGAAGAUGAAAUUAUUCUGGCUUUAGUAAAAUUAUCUUUUAUUGGUCAAAAGUUGCUUCUCUUUCUUCUGGUAUAAGAUAAGAACGUCUAGAAAUAACAUCAAACAAACCUUAUUUUUUUUUUUGGCUGAUAAGUGAUAUUGAACUGAAAUCUUAACAAAGACAUGCUCCAACGAGCUUGGCAACGAUUCAAAACAUGUAUUGACAUGAAAUACUCGAGGUUCUUAUGAUCCGUAUAUAUUAUGAUUGGACUUGAAGUGCCUCCUAAAUAAUGAUGUUAUUCUUGAAAAGAAUCCAUGAUUGCAAAAAGUUCCUUGUCGUAGAUUUCAUAAUUAAUCUUGGCUGUUGAAAAUUUUCUUGAAUGAAAAGCUACUAGAUGAAAUUUUUCAUUUGCUCCUAUUUGUAACAAGACUGCACUAAGGAGCAAAGUCAGAUGCAUUUGUUUCCAUAAAAAAUGCUUUCGAAAAGUUGACAUGAUGCAAAAUUGGUACAAAAGUAAAAGCUUUCUUCAAACUUGAAAUGAUGCUUCUGCUUCUUUAUUCCACUCGAGUUUGUCUUUACAAGUUUAGCAUGUAAGUAGCAUUGUAACUUGAGAAAAGUUCUUAAUAAAGAUCUGAUAAUAAUUGGCAAAUCUCAAAAAGUAUUGUAUAUCUCUUAUUAUUUUUAAAAUCUUCCAAUGUAUGAUUGUAUGAAUUUUUUUAGGAUCCAUCAUGAGACCAUUGUUUGAAAUGAUGUAUUCUUAGAAGUCAACUUGAAUAGUAUAGAAUACAUACUUUUCCAUCUUGGCAUACAAUCUCCAAUCUCUAAUUUUUAUAACACACAACAAACAUGAAUUCCAUAUUCUUCUGUGUUCUUAGAAUAGAUUAAAAUAUCGUCUAAGUAACAAACAAAAAAAUCAUCUAGAAACUUACAAAAAAUAUCAUUCAUAAGAUAUUAAAAAGCAGCUGAUAUAUUCGUGAGUCCAAAUGGCAUGACAUUAUGUUUAAAGUGUACAUACUUUGUUCAAAAUGCAGUCUUCAAUUCAUCUCCUUCUUUAAUGUGGACCAAAUUGUAUGCUCUUUGUAGAUCUAUUUUUGUAUAGAUCUUAGCUUGAUUUAAUUGAUCAAGAAUUCUAGAUAUCAAACAUAGAAGAUAUCUAUUCUUGAUGGUAAUCUUAUUGAGUCUUCAAUAAUCCACACACAUUUGUAAUGAUCCAUCUUUUUUCUUCACAAAUAAGAUAGGAGCUCUUGUAAGAGAUUUUGAAUGGCGUAUGAAAUUCUUGGCCAAGUUCUCAUCAAUGUACUUCUUGAGUUCAGCCAACUCAUUUUGUGAUAAACUAUAGAUAGGAUAAAAUAGCGGUUGAGUUUUUUCUUUAAGAUUGAUUGAGCAAUCAUAUGGACAAUACUCUGAGAAAAUAUCUACAUUCUUUUUUUCAAAAAAAUCUUUAAAAUCUUGAUAUUGAAUUUGAAUUUGACUUGAAAACUUUUCAUUAUUUAAGAUGGGUGUGGCAUAAAUAAUAAAAGAUGAUCUUUCUUUUGUAGCAUGCAAAAAAUCUUUUGUAUCUACAAGUACAAGUUUGACUACACUAGACUCAUGGCUUUCUACUAGAUUAGAAAAACUCUUAAUGAUGUUUGAAGAAAAGUCAAGUUUAAAGAAAUUCAAUAUAUCAUAAGAUUAUAUUUUUUUAGCCAUGAUAAAUCUAAAAUAACUGGAUUAGAAAGAGAUCUAAUUAUAUUAAAAAUUAUGCAACUAUUAUGACCAUUUAUUACUACAUCUAUAGGAAGUAUUUCAUGAAUAACAUCUCUAAAAGAUAACGGACGACCAUCUAUGACUUCUACGAGUACGGAUUUAGUUUUUUGUACUAAUUAUAUAUUAUGACUUUUGACAAAUUCUUCAUCUAAAAAACAAGCUAAGGCUCUUGAAUCUAUUAAGGCAGAGGCUUUGUAAUUAUUAGAUCCUAAAAGUACAUCUAUUGUAAAAUAAAGAUAGAAUUUUGAGGAGAAAAUAGGACCUUCAUUAGGAAUUGUAUAAGAUUCCAUGUGCAUGGUUCCUAUUGUAGGUGAAUAAAUUUGCUUUCCGACAUGUUUUCAUCUUUGACAGCAAUACUCUUUAUUUAUUAGUUGUGCUAUUUCUUUGAACAAUAUUAAGCAAUGUACUUAGCUUCUCCAUACUAUAAAUAUAGUACUUCUUGACAACGAUAAAUCUUUUCUUAUUUGGUAAGAAGUUUAAAACGUAUUGUAUCAAUUUGCAUGUCUUCUACUUAUAAAUGUUUAGAUUGAAAAGUUGUUAGUAUUGUCAUUGAAUUGUAAUAAUGUUGAGGUUUUCUUAUGUGAUUCUCACAUCGAAACUCAAAAAGCCAAUUAUCAUAUUUCACAAUAAAGUCAAUUGCUUGAUUCAAUGUCUAAGAAUUAGGUAAAUUGACCAUUAAUUUCUCUACUUCGUAUUGUAAUUUGUAGAAAAAUUGGCUAUUCAGUGCUACAUCAUUCUACUUGAUAUUUGUCGCUAAUUGUCAAAAUUGUGAAGUGUAUAAUGUCAUUGAUCAAUUGCCUUAUCCCAAGAUAUGAAACUUGUUGGUUGUAACAUGGAUUACAUCAUGUUUUCUAUACAUAGAUCAAAACUUUGCUAAGAAUACUUCAAAAUUAUCUAAUAUUGGAACAUAUCAUUCAAAAAAUAAUGAAAAUCAUGAUAAAACAAAACAUGAAAGUAGUAUUCUAAUAAACCUAAUUUGUGAUCCUUGAGUUGCAUAACUUUGAGGUUGUAGUUCAAUCACCAAUUGUACCUAAUUGAUGAAUCCUCAAAACUAAGAUAUUGUGCCAUCAAACUUUUCACAGAAUCCAAUUUUUUGUUCCUUGAAACUUAAAUGAUGUUCCAUUGUAGGAGUAAUGGUAUGACUUGGUGUAGAUAGUGAAGCAACUCCAAUCAUCUCUAUAUCUUCAUUUCCUAAUAAUCUUAUUGCUCCUUGUGGCAAUAGAUUGAGUUGAUGCAUUGCAAGCAUUAACUCUCUCAUUUGCUCUUGCAUUUGAGCCAUUGCACUCUUCAUUUCAGUAAGCUCUGCCAAGCUAGCACAAUAGAAAGAAAGUUGUCUAUUCUCAUAGAAUACAAUACUUAAGAAUCAAGAAAAAUAAAAUAAAAUAAAAUCUAAAAAUAAUAUCAGUUUAGAAAAGGGUAAUUUGUAACUUUCAAUAUGCUUAUGUCUUAUCAAGAAAAAGGAAUAAUCUACUCUUAAUCAAGAAAAGACAAAGCUCUAAUAUUGUAUGUGUAUUCUUGUCAAUUUUUCAAGGACACAAAUCAGAAGAAGAUACAUAAACUCAUGGAAUUUGUAUAAAAAAAAAAGUGAGAAAAUAGAAGAAAGUAUGUAUAUUCAAGGAAGAAUUACAAUAGCUAUUGCUAAAGACUAGAAAACAUGAGACUCUUGAAAUUAGACUAAAAGCAAGAAAGAAAUUGAGAAGAGUGAAGAAGGCCUCACUCUUGCUUUUAUGUAUACUACUUAACUAAGAACUAUGUUGUGACAUGCUAUAGGAUCUCUAAUAUGCGUUGUUGUGUUGUAACACGUCUAUAUGAUGAAAAUAUAAAUGAAGAAGAUUUAUUAAUAUUUAGUCACCUUGGAUGUUAGAAGUGGCAGCCAAUUCCAGUGCAAAUAUUGAGAGGCCAGGUUCAGUCACCCAGUUACAGUCAAUCGGGGCAUACUCACCAAUAACAAAAUGCUUUGUUCGAUUCCAAUAACGGGAGUCAGUAAGAAGGAAAAGGACCAAUUCAACGUCGGGUGAGCCUGGUUUGGAGAGCCAAUUGGAUCUAAUUUCAAAAGACAUCUAAUCCAGGUCUUAUUACAGGCCUCUUACCUAGUAUGAGACCUGACUUGAUCGGGCAAUCCAAUGCGGUCCAAUUAUGGGGCUUUGAUUCUGUUUCAGGCUGUUCCAUUCUUUGUGUUGUUCCGGGAACAUUCUUUUUGUAAAAAGAUCUCUUAAAGGCAAAAAUAGGGGAGAGAAAGUAGGGGUCGGUUGUUCCAAUUCGGAAAGUUCAAGGCGGUAACAUGUUGUAACACGAGUAUAUCAUGAAAAUAUAAAGAAAGGAGACUUUUAUUAAUGUUCAAUUACCUCGAAUAUUGGGAGCAAUGACCGAUUCCAAUGCCAAUAUUCAGGGGCUAGUUCAGACACCUCGUCACAAUCAGUUAAGGCAUACUUACCAGUAACAAAAUGCUCCGUUCGAGUCCAAUAGUGGAAGUCAACAGAAUCAAAAGGACUAAAUCAAUGACUGAGCGAGCCUAACGCGAACGACCAAUUUGACCCAAUUACGGGAACAUCCAGGUCUUAUUAUGGGCCUCUUAGCCAAUAUGAGACCUGAUUUGGUCGGGCGACUCAAUGUGGUCUCAAUUACGGGGGUUUCGAUUUCGUUUCAGGCUGUUCUAUUCUCUGUGCCGUUUCAAGGAACGUUGUUUCUAGAAAAAGAACUUUUUAAAAGGCAAAAAAUGGAGGAAAAAGCUCUGACGCAGAGCCAAUAUUGGAUCCAAGACAGAAGAUUGAAGAAAUUCAGAGGCUAAGGUUUGAAAGGAGGAGAGAAAAAAACAUUCGUAAAUGGUUAGGGUGGAAGAGAGGAUUCAGAGAUUCAAGAAUUAGGGAGGUUAAGAAAAAAGGAGGAUACAACGUUUUUGGAUAGGGGUCAGAAAAGGGACUUCUAGUGAUCAAUGCUGAAAGGUCGAUGUAUUGUAUUAGUGAAUCGGGAUUUUAAUGAAGUGGGUGUGAUUAUUCUUGACUGUUUUGUGAAAUCGAAGUUACGUCUGUGAUUGAAGAAUUAAAAGGGUAUCUAUAGGAUUGAAUAUGCAGAAUAAAUGAAAUUUUUUUGGAUUAAUCUAACAAGACAGUCAGUGGAUACAAGGUCGUGAGUAUAAGCGGUAUCGGAGAUUAGCAGAUUGGAUUGUUCAAGGUUCUCUAUAACGUCUAGAGACCUACCGGCGAGGGCAAAAAGGAUUUCGGCAAGCAGUCGAAGGACAUCCGUAUAGAUUUAUGGUAUAUUCUAAGAAUCAUUUAUAUUCUAACAAUCAAAAACCGAUAGACUGCUUGAAUAUUAGUGAAUCUCCAUACUACCUUCUAUAGCCAAAUGCCUGGUGCGUUCUCGAGCACGAAAGCACGUAAUACGACAUAAGUGGUGAACCCGACGUGAAAGCUUGAGGUGGAAGGUAUUGGAUUUCGUUUGAUUUUAUUUUUAUUUUUAUAAAGAACGAAAAUAAAAAUUUUGAAGGAUCUUUGGAAGGAGUUUCUGGUAGGGGUUCUUCUAAAGGACAAGGUAUGCACAUGGAUCCGUCUAUUGCUAGUAUGUUUCAAGCCUUCUCAUUAUUAAUGCAGCAAAAAUAAAGCAAUGAUCGAAAAGAAGCUUUAGCAACUAUCAUGGACAUAAUCAUGUAAGGUAGUAAUUACAUAUAUAAAUAGAUAGAAGUAAGUAAAAGUAGGUAAAAGUAAAUUAAUUCUAUAAUAUUUAAUAUGAAAGCUACCUAGAAGCUUCAUAGACACUGCUUUGACUUCAUAGGUAUCUUUAAUUGACUUUUUGGAUUAGAAACGUCGUCAACAAGUUGGCCAUGUGCCACACAUGUUGUUAGCUUGAAGAUCAAGCUAACUAUGUGGUCCACACAUAGAAGAACUUGCCUUGUAAGUCAAGGCAUGUGUCCUACAAAAUCAACACAUAUUGGAGGUCCUAUAGAACGUCGCCACGUAAUCCCUAGUUUGAUAGUAUAUAUAGAGAUAAGAGUGAAGGCUUCUUCACUCUUGUCAACACUUUUCUUGUUUCCAGUCUAGUUUCAAGGGUCUCUAGUUUUCUUGUCUUUUGGCAAUACCUAUUCCAAUUUCGCUUUCAAUAUACAUAUUUAUUUAUUUAUAUUUUAUAAUUGUUCUUUGAGUGAAGGCUCACUUGUUUGAUAUAUUUUUUCAUCGAGUUCUUGUCCUUGACAAAGUGACAAGAAUACACCUACAAUAUCAGAGCUUUGUCUAAUCUUGAUUAAGAGUGGAUUAUCUCUUUUUCUUACUAAGAUAUAAGCAUAUUAGAAGUUGUGGAUUAUCCUCUUCUAAACUGAUAUUGUCCUUAGUAUUUUCUUUGUUCUCAAGUCCUCUCUUCUAUUUGUCUUAAGCAAUAUUAGACAUCUUCUCUCUUCUACGUGUUAUCAUGGCAGAACUUAUUGAAAUGAAGAGUGCAAUGGCACAAAUACAAGAGCAAUUGAGAGAGUUAAUGCUUGCAAUGCAUCAACUCAAUUUACCACCACAAGGAGCAACAAGAUUGGCAAGAAGUGAAGAUAUAGAAAUAGUUGGAGCUACUUCAACAUUUGUACCAAACCAUGUCCUUUUUCCUAUCGUAGAACACCCUUCAAAUGUUAGAGAACCAAGAAUUGCCCUAUCCGAGAAGUUUGAUGGCACCAGAUCCAAAUUUCGAGGAUUUAUCAAUGAAGUGUAACUUAUGAUUGAACUUCAACCCCAAAGUAAUUCAACUCCAGGAUUGUAAGUUAGAUUCAUUGGUACGCUUCUUUCAGGUUCAGCACUAUCGUGGUUUUCAUCUUUUCUUGAACGACGAGAUCUAAUAUUAGAUAAUCUAGAGGCUUUUUUGGCAGAUUUUUGAUCCAUGUAUGGAGAACAUAAUGUAAUUCGUGUUGCAACCAAUAAGAUCCAUAUUUUAUGACAAGGCAAUCGAUCAGUAAUAUUAUACGCUUCACAAUUUUGACAACUUGUAAUUGAUAUCAAGUAGAAUGAUGCUGUACUUAUUAGUCAAUUUCUCUACGGAUUAUAAUAUGAGGUAAAAAAAUUAAUGCUCAACUUACCCGAUCCUCAAACAUUGAGUCAAGCAAUUGACUUUGCUCUGAAGUGCAACAAUCAUCUUUUUGAAUUUCGAUUUGAGAACUGUAUAAGUAGACCUUAACGUUACUAUAAUUCAAUGGCAACACCAACACCUCUUCAAUACAUACAUUCGGAAGUAGAGGAUAUGCAAAUUGAUGCAGUACGUUUCAAACCUCUUACUUAGCAAGAAAAGACUUGUCGUCGUCAAGAAGGAUUAUGUUUAUAUUGUGGAGAACUAAAGCACAUUGCUCAAUAUUGUCCAAAGAAACGACGCAAUGACAAAAUGAGGAGUAUGGCUGUGAAAGAAGACAAUAUGUCAAAAAAUAAGUUUGUCCAGCUACAAUAGGGACCGUGCGACUAGAACCUUGUACAACAUCUAGUAAAGGUCUUAUUCUCUCCUCAGAGCCCUCUCCUUGUUUUAUAUUAAAUGUUAUUUUAGGACCUAAACAUUACAAAGUCUCUGCCUUAUUAGAUUCAGGAGCCUCAUCAUGUUUUUAAGAUGAAGAAUUUACUAAAAGACAUAGCAUAUCUUUAGUAAAGAAAACUAAACCUAUUCAUGUAGAAGUCAUUGAUAGUCGUCCAUUAUCUUUUGGAGAUAUUACUCAUGAAACCCUUCUUAUAGAAGUAAUAAUCAAUAGUCAUAAUAGUUCUGUAGUAUUUAAUAUCAUUAGAUCUCCCUCUAAUCCAGUCAUAUUAGGUUUAUUGUGGUUAGAAAAAUACAACCCUCAAAUAGAUUGGAUUUCUCAAACUCUUACUUUCUCUAAAAGUAUAACUAAUAGUGUAGUUAAUCAAGUAGUGAGUCAUAAGUCCAGUUCAAUUAAACCCGUAUUUAUAGGUGCAAAAGCUUUCUUGCAUGCUGCUAUGAAAGAAUCACCAUAUAUUAUUUAUGCCACACCCGUUUCUACUGGUGAAAAGACUUCAAGUGGCAUUCCAAGCCAAUAUCAAGAAUUUCAAGAUGUAUUCAAAAAAAAGAAUGCGUAUACACUCUUGCAAUAUCGUCCCUAUGAUUGCUCAAUUGACCUUCAAGAAGGAGCACAACCGCCAUUCGGACCAAUCUACAGUUUAUCACAAAAUGAGUUGGUUGAACUCAAGGAGUAUAUUGAAGAAAAUCUAGCCAAGAAUUUCAUACACUAUUCUAAAUCUCCGGCAGGAGCUCCAAUUCUAUUUGUGAAGAAAAAAGAUGGAUCAUUGCGGAUGUGUGUUGAUUAUCAAGGACUCAACAAGAUUACUAUCAAGAACAGGUAUCUACUACCUUUAAUAUAUGGACUUCUUGAUCAGCUGAAUCAAGCUAAGAUCUAUACAAAAAUAGAUCUUCGGAAAGUAUACAAUCUAGUACGCAUCAAAGAAGGAGAUGAAUGGAAGACUGCAUUUCGAACUAGGUAUGGACAUUUUGAAUACAACGUUAUACCUUUCGGACUUACAAAUGUACCAACAGCUUUUCAACAUCUAAUGAAUGAUGUUUUUCGAGAGUUUUUGGACGAUUUUUUGGUCUGUUAUCUAGACGACAUCUUGAUCUAUUCUAAGAAUCCAAAAAAAUAUGAACUUCAUGUUCGUCGUGUGUUACAAAAAUUAAGAGAUGCAGGACUCUAUGCUAAGAUAGAAAAGUGUAUAUUCUACACUACUCAAGUCGAUUUCUUAGGUUACAUCAUUUCAAACGAUGGACUUAUGAUGGAUCCUAAGAAAGUUCAAACUAUUAUAGAUUGGAAGAUCCCAAAAACAGUAAGAGAUGUCCAAUGUUUUUUGGAAUUUUCCAACUACUAUCGGAUCUUCAUCAAAGACUUCUCUCAAGUUGCAGCUCCACUUACACGUUUGACUUGUAAAGACAAACUCCAAUGGAAUCAAGAAGCGGAAAUUGCUUUUGGAUCUUUGAAGACAACGUUUGUUUCAGCACCAAUCUUGUAUCGUGUUGAUUUUUCCAAAGCAUUCUUUAUGGAAACAGAUGCAUUAAACUUUGCUCUAGGUGCGGUUUUAUCACAAAUGGGAACAAAUGAAAAACUUCAUCUAGUAGCCUUUCAUUAAAGAAAAUUCUUAGCAGCAGAAAUCAAUUAUGAGAUCCACGACAAAGAACUUCUUGCAAUUGUGGAUUCUUUUUAAGAAUGGCGUCAUUAUCUAGAAGGCGCUUCCAGUCCAGUCAUCGUGUAUACGGAUCACAAGAAUCUCGAAUAUUUUAUGUCAUCAUGCAUAUUAAAUCAUCGCCAAGCUCAUUAGAGCAUGUCUUUAUCAAGAUUUGAGUUCAUCAUCACAUAUCGGCCAGGAAAACAACAAGAUUUGUACAAUGCCUUAUCUAGAUGAUCUUAUCUUGCACCAAAAGAAGGAAAUGCAGCUUCUGAGCAACAAAGAAUGGUUCUCUUGAAGCCGGAGCAAUUUCAUCUUUGAGCAAUAAAAUCAACAUUGACUGUUGAUUUAACUUUUCUUAAGCAAGUCCAGUUAAGUAUGUCUUUAGAUCCUCUUGCUCAUGAUAUCAAGAAUAAUUCUUCUAAAUCUCAUGAUCCCUCUAAAUUUAAAUUCAAGAACAACCAACUCUAUUUCAAAGGACGCCUAUAUGUUCCAGAAGCAGAAGCACAUUUACGUAUUCUUCAAGCUUGUCACGACUUCCUAAUAGGAGGACAUUUUGGAUAUAAUAAGACUUUGGAGCUGAUACCUAGGGAUUUUUCGUGGCCUCAAUUGUGGAAGGCAGUUAAAGACUUUGUACAAUCAUGUUAUGUUUGCUCAAGAUCAAAAAUUCCUCAUCAUCAAUCUUUUAGACUUCUUCAGCCAUUAUCCAUUUCACAACAACCAUGGUCUUCUGUUUCUAUGGACUUCAUCACGGAUCUUCCAAUCUCAAGUUCUUAUGACUAUAUUCGUGAUAGUAGAUUGUUUUACCAAAAUGGCACAUUUUGUACCAUGUACAAAAUCUAUCACAGGUAAAGAAAUAGCUAAACUCUUUCUUGACAAUAUCUAUCGCUAACAUGGAUUAUCCAAGGAUAUUAUAUCAGAUAGGGGAACUCAAUUUGUAUCAAGAUUUUGGCGAACUCUUUUCAAGAUUCAUAAAGUGGAUAUAAAACUAUCUUUGGCAUUCCAUCCUCAAACUGAUGGACAAACAGAGCGUGUUAAUCAAGUUUUGGAGCAAUAUUUAAGAUGUACUAUUAAUUUCCAACAAGAUGAUUGGACAACUUUUUUACCAUUAGCAGAGUUUGCUUACAAAAAUACAGUAUAUUCUUCUACAAAACAAACACCUUUCUUUGCUAAUUAUGAUUAUCAUCCAAGACUUCAUACUUUUGACUUUUCAAAAGUUUAUAAUCUUGUUGCGAAAGAUUUAGCAGUUCAUUUAUCGGAACUACAUGCAACGAUGAAGGCACAGUUAAAAAAGGCUCAAGAACAACAAAAAGUCAAUGCGCAUGUCUAUCGAAAGGAACAACCAUCAUUCGUCUUAGGUGAUAAGAUAUGGCUACUUCAUCGCAAUAUCAAGACCACUCAUCCUUGUGACAAAUUGGACUAUCGAAGGUUGGGACCAUUUUCUAUUUUUGCACAAAUCAAUCCAAUUGUAUAUCGUUUACAUCUACCAGAGUCAAUGAAAAUCCAUCCAGUAUUCCACGUGUCUCUUCUUGAAUCAUACAAGACAGUGGACAUACCAAGAAGACGACAAGCUCAACCUCCUCUUAUAGAAGUAGACAAUAAUGAAGAGUUUCAAGUAGAAGAAGUUUUAGAUUCAAGGCGGCGUCGAAAUAAAUUUGAAUAUCUUGUCCAUUGGCAUGGAUAUGAUAUUAGUGAACACACAUGGGAGCCAAUAAAGAAUCUUGCAAAUGCAGCAAAGGCGGUGGAGGCUUUUCAUCGAUGACAUCCAUCAAAAUCAAGAUGAAAACCUUCUUUAUAAAAGAAACAACAUCUAGGCAAGAUAACAUUCUACAUUUACCUAAAUUGGUGGAAUUAUUAAAAGAAAAGAUGAAGAUGAAAAUAUUGGAACCCUCAUUUAAGCCAUAUUCUAGUCGAUGGUUUACGGUACCUUAGAAGAAUGGGUCACUACGGUUUAUUCAAGAUAUGCAACCGAUGAAUGUGGUAACUGUCAGGAAUGCAAGAAUUGGACAUAUUGUGGAUGAAUUUGUUAAGGCGUUUACAAGAAGGGCGAUCUAUUCAAUGGGUGUCUUAUAUUCAAGUUAUGAUCAAUUUCAACUUAUCGAAGGAAGUAGAGAUAUGACAACAAUGAGGACACUACUUGGAUUGGUUAGAAUGUACACUCUUCCUCAAGGCGCGACCAACUCAGUUGCGCAUAUGAUGAAUGGGAUGAAUAAGGUAUUGAGAGAUUUUAUUUCGAAGAAGACUAUGCCUUUUCCGGAUGAUGUUCCUAUGAAAGGGUGCAGAGAAGGAGACAAGGAUGAAACUUUAGAUAAGAGGGGGUGUUGCAAAUAUGUUGUUGAUCAUAUACAAGAUUGUGAGAAGAUUUUAACUCGGCUUGGAAAAGUUCAUCUUACAUUAUCGGAUAUGAAGUCCAUAUUUGGAGUACAAGAGGUUGUGAUUGUUGGACAUUUAUGUGGAUCUUACGAAAGAAAUUCAGAUCCCACUAAAGUUGAUGCAAUUGGAAGGAUGAAAGAGGAUUGUGAUUCUUUAACAGAGGUUCGCAGGUUUUUAGGUGCAUGUGUAUUUUAUCGAAUCUGGAUCCCUCAUUAUGCUCACAUAGCGGAUCCAUUAUAUGAACUGUUACGCAAGGGCUACCGAUUUAAAUGGGAAGAAAGGCAUAUUCAGACAAUGCAAAGAUUAAAGAAAUUAUUGAUGUCACCUCCAAUAUUGAAGAAGGUUGAUUAUUAGUGCUAUAGACCAAUGAUUCUUACUGUGGAUGCUAGUCUAAUUGCCAUUGGAUGGACUGUGGAUCAAGAUGAUUCAAGUGGGAAUAGAUUUACAGUUCGAUUUGGAGCUAAAGUUUUAAGUAUUCGGCAUCGUGCAUAUUCGCAAGUCAAAAGAGAACUUUAGGGAGUUGUUUCGGCUACGAAAGCUGAAAAGGACUAUUUGAUUGGGGUAGUAGUAGUAAUUGAAACAGAUUGCUUGCCAUUGCUUAGAAUGAUUAUUAACUGUUCGAUGCCAGAUAUUGCAAUGUUGAGAUGGAUUGCUUUUAUUAAGUCACUAAAUCCAAAAUUUAAGCAUUAUACUGGGAAGGAUAAUUUAAUAGUAGACAUACUAUCUCGAGCAAGAUACGAGAGGGAGGACGAAAUAGUUGAAGACAUUGAUGACGUCGGAUUGAAAUUCUAUUCAAUAUCAAAUCUCAACAGAGAAGACAAGCUAUUUCUUGAAGAAUCUUAUGAAGGAGAUUUAUUGGAUAUUGGUCAUUACUUGAAUACCUUGACUAAGUAAGAGAAUUGGUCUAUAAAAAAAUUCAAACAAAUAAGAAAAAAAGCAUAUGGAUUUUUGCUUUGAGAUGGAUUCUUAUAGAAGAGACCGAAGAAAGGAAUUGGGAUGCCACAACGAGUGAUAGGCAAAAAGGAAGAAAAACUAAAAUUAUUACAGGAGUUUCAUGAUAGUUUAUGGGCAGGGCAUAGAGGAAUCUGGGCUACUUUUGCUAAACUCAAGGAACGAUAUUGGUGGAAAAAUAUGUAUCGAGAUGUGCUUUCAUUUUUAGAGUCAUGUGAAAUCUGUCAAUUGUAUUCUAAUAUCCGACAUCGAGAUGGUCUUCAUCCUACGUAUCCUCUAGCUAUUCAUUUUAAAUGGGUUGUUGAUUUGAUUAUUAUGCUAGUUGGGUUAUGGCAGAUAAGAUAUUUGGUCUUAGCUCAUGAAAUUUUAUCAAAUCAAGUAAAAGGAAGAGCAUUGAGGAUAAAAUCUAUAGAGGGGAUUUGUAGGUUUUUGCUUGAAGAUGUCAUUUGCUGCUACGGAUGCAUAGAAAAAAUCACUGCAAAUCAUGGAGAAUUAAAUGCACAAGAAGCUCGUAAGUUCUUUGAAAGAUGUGGAGUUAAACUAUCACUGACUAUUGCUUAUAAUCUGGAAGUGAAUGCAAAAAGUGAACGUGGUCACCUACCGAUUGUGAAAGCAUUAAUUAAAGCUUGUAAUGGAAAAGUUAGAGAGUGGCCACGGCUUUUGUCAUUUGCAUUAUGGGCUGAUCGAACAACACAUAGUUCGGUGACAGGAUAUAUGCCAGUAGAACUUAUGACAGGUCAAAAACCAAUUAUGCCGAUUGAAGAAAAGGUACUUACUUGGAGUAUGCUAUCAUGGGAAGAUGGAUUGACUAGAGAAGAACUUUUGGCUAUUAAGAUUCGACAAUUGGAGCAAAGAUCGGAAGAUGUACAAAUAGCAUUGAAAAGGUUAAAAAGAGCAAGGUUACAAAACAAGGCAUGAUUCGAUAAGCAACAUCGAUUUAGACCUAAAGCAAUCGAGGAAGGUGACUUGGUACUUGUUUAUGACAAUAGUCUGGAUAAUCAACAUAGUACUUUGCGGAAAUUUAUAAAACGUUGGUUUAGACCAUAUGUAAUAACAACUGUUCAUGAUAAUGCGACUAACUCAUUACGGGAGUUAGAUGGCACAAGGUUAAAAAUACCAAUUAUAGGGAAGAGAGUGAAAUUAUUUAAACAAAGAUAUGCAGAAAUCAAUAUAGAAGACCUUAAUGAAGACAUAGAUAUUCCGCAAUGAGAAGAUGAAAUUGAUUGGAUAGCAGAGACGAUGAAGAUGGACUAGACGAAGAUUUAGAGAACAUAUUAUGAAUCAAACAGUAACUAGAUUAAUUGGUGCAUACUGGAGGAUGCACAGGUUUAGAGGGAGUGGAUGUCGUAUUGUAACACGUCUAUAUGAUGAAAAUAUAAAUGAAGAAGAUUUAUUAAUAUUUAGUCACCUUGGAUGUUAGAAGCAGCGACCAAUUCUAGAGCAAAUAUUGAGAGGCCAGGUUCAGUCACCCCAUUACAGUAAACCGAGGCAUACUCACCAAUAACGAAAUGCUCCAUUCAAUUCCAGUAACGGGAGUCAGCAAGAAGGAAAAGGACCAAUUCAACAUCAGGUGAGCCUGGUUCGGAGAGCCAAUUGGAUCCAAUUUCAAAAGACAUCUAAUCUAGGUCCUAUUACCGGCCUCUUACGAGGUAUGAGACCUGACUUGGUCGGGCAACCCAAUGCAGUCCAAUUAUGGGGCUUCGAUUCCGUUUCAGGCUGUUUUGAUCUUUGUGCCAUUCAAAGAACGUCUUUUUUGUAAAAGGAUCACUUAAAGGCAAAAAUGGGAGGGGAGAAAGCGGGGGUCGGCUAUUCCAAUUUGGGGAGUCCAAGGCGGAAGAAUAGGAUCUUCUUAGGGUAAAAGGGGAAGGUAGGUUAAAAAAUGGAUUUUUCGAGAGUCGGGGUUUUAGGUCGGAGAGCUAGUUUCAUGCUUUCGGAAAAAGAUAGAGAAUUAGGGUUUUUUUAUAUGUAUAGGGUUUUGGAGAGAAUGAGAGGAGGGGGUUGCUGAAAGUCAGUGUUAUAUUGGUGAAUUGGAUUUUUUAUUAUCGUAUUACGUGCUUUCCUGCUCGAGAACGUGCCGAGCGACUGGCUGUUGAAGGUAAUAUGGAGAUUCGCUAAUAUUCAAACAGUCUAUCGGUUUUUGACUGUUGGAAUAUAAACAACUGCAAGAAUGUACCGUAAAUCUAUAUGGAUGCCCUUCGACUACUCGCCAAAGUCCUUUUUGUCCCAGCCAAUAGGUCUCUAGAUGUUACAGAGAACCCCGAAUAAUCCAAACUGCUAAUCUUUGAUACCGCUUUAUACUCACAAUCUUAUAUCCACUGACUGUCUCGUUAGAUUAACCCAAUAAAUUUCAUUCACUCCGCAUACUCAAUCCUAUAGACACCUUUUUAAUUCUUCAUCACAGACGUAACUCGAUUUCACAAAACAGUCAAGAGUAAUUAAACCCACUUCAUUAAAAAUCUCGAUUCACCAUUACAAUACUGACUUUAACAACGAUUGCCUCAGUCUUCCCAAAACCCUAUGAAGAAAAAAACCCAAUUCUCUAUCUUUUAUCCCCUUCUCGAAGCAUAAAGCUAGCUCUUUGAUCCUUCAAAAAAUCCCCCAAAACUCUUCUCUCCUCUCAUUUCUUAACCUUAAUUCUGAAUUUCUUCAAUCUUUCGUCUUGGAUCCGAAAUUGGCUCCCGCCAUCAGAGCUUUCUCCUCCGUUUUUAUCUUUAAGAGAUCCUUUUACCGUAAACAAUGUUCCCUGAAAUGGCACAGAGAAUAAAACAGCCUGAAACAGAAUCGAAACCCCGUAAUCAGGACCACAUUGAGUCGCCCGACCAAUUCACGUCUCACAAUUCAGGUCUCAUAUUGGGUAAGAGGCCUGUAGAAAUCUGGAUGUUCCCGAAAUUGGUCCGCAUUGGGUUGUCUGACCAAGUCAGGUCUCAUAUUAGGUAAGAAGACCCAGAUUGGAUGUCUUGAAAUUGGAUCCAAUUGGCUCUUCGAACCAGGCUCACCCGUCGUUGAAUUGGUUCUUUCCCAUUCUGUUGACUUCCGUUAUUGGAAUCGAACGGAGCAUUUCAGUAUGCGCUGGCUGACUAUAACAGGGUGACUGAACCUGGCCUAUCAGUAUUUGCACUGGAGUUGGUCAUUGCUCCCAAUAUUCGAGAAAAAUGAAUAUUAAUAAAAGUCCCCUUACUUUAUAUUUUCAUGGUACACCCGAAUUACAACACGACAUCCACCCUCUCUGAACCUGUGCAUCCUCCGGUAUGCACCAAUUUAUCCAAUUGCUAUUUGAUUUAGAAUAUAUCCGCUACAUCUUUGUCUAGUUUGUCUUCAUCACCUUCAUUAUCCAAAUCACUUUCAUCUUCUAGCUGCGGAAUCUCUAUACCUUCAUUAAGGUCUUCCAUAUUCAUCUCCGCAUGUCUUUGUUUAAACAAUUUCACUCUCUUUCCUGUAAUUGGUAUUUUUAACCUUGUGCCAUUUAACUCCCGUAAUGAGUUAGUCACAUUAUCAUGAACAGUUGUUAUUACAUAUGGUCCAAACCAACGUUUUAUAAAUUUCCGCAAAGUACUAUGUUGAUUAUCCAGACUAUUAUCAUAAACAAGUACCAAGUCACCUUCCUCGAUUGCUUUAGGUCUCAAUCGAUGUUGCUUAUCGAAUCAUGCCUUGUUUUGUAACCUUGCUCUUUUUAACCUUUUCAAUGCUAUUUGUACAUCUUCCGAUCUUUGCUCCAAUUGUCGAAUCUUAAUAGCCAAAAGUUCUUCUCUAGUCAAUCCAUCUUCCCAUGAUAGCAUACUCCAAGUAAGUACCUUUUCUUCAAUCGGCAUAAUUGGUUUUUGACCUGUCAUAAGUUCUACUGGCAUAUAUCCUGUCACCGAACUAUGUGUUGUUCGAUCAGCCCAUAAUGCAAAUGACAAAAGCCGUGGCCACUCUCUAACUUUUCCAUUACAAGCUUUAAUUAAUGCUUUCACAAUCGGUAGGUGACCACGUUCACUUUUUGCAUUCACUUCCAGAUUAUAAGCAAUAGUCAGUGAUAGUUUAAUUCCACAUCUUUCAAAGAACUUACGAGCUUCUUGUGCAUUUAAUUCUCCAUGAUUUGCAGUGAUUUUUCCUACGCAUCCGUAGCAGCAAAUGACAUCUUCAAGCAAAAACCUACAAAUCCCCUCUAUAGAUUUUAUCCUCAAUGUUCUUCCCUUUACUUGAUUUGAUAAAUCUUCACGAGCUAAGACCAAAUAUCUUAUCUGCCAUAACUCAACUGGCAUAAUAAUCAAAUCAACAAUCUAUUUAAAAUGAAUAGCUAGAGGAUACGUAGGAUGAAGACCAUCUUGAUGUCGGAUAUUAGAAUACGAUUGACAGAUUUCACAUGACUCUAAAAAUGAAAGCACAUCUCGAUACAUAUUUUUCCACCAAUAUCGUUCCUUGAGUUUAGCAAAAGUAGCCCAGAUUCCUCUAUGCCCUGCCCAUAAACUAUCAUGAAACUCCUGUAAUAAUUUUAGUUUUUCUUCCUUUUUGCCUAUCACUCGUUGUGGCAUCCCAAUUCCUUUCUUCGGUCUCUUCUAUAAGAAUCCAUCUCAAAGCAAAAAUCCAUAUGCUUUUUUUCUUAUUUGUUUGAAUUUUUUUGUAGACCAAUUCUCUUACUUAGUCAAGGUAUUCAAGUAAUGACCAAUAUCCAAUAAAUCUCCUUCAUAAGAUUCUUCAAGAAAUAGCUUGUCUUCUUUGUUGAGAUUUGAUAUUGAAUAGAAUUUCAAUCCGACAUCAUCAAUGUCUUCAACCAUUUCGUCCUCCCUCUUGUAUCUUGUUCGAGAUAGCAUGUCUGCUACUAAAUUAUCUUUCCCAGUAAUAUGCUUAAAUUCCGGAUUUAGUGACUUAAUAUAAGUAAUCCAUGUCAAAAUUGCAAUAUCAGGGAUUGAACAGUUAAUAAUCAUUCAAAGCAAUGGCAAGCAAUCUGUUUCAAUUACUACUACUACCCCAAUCAAAUAGUCCUUUUCAGCUUUCGUAGCCGAAACAACUCCCUAAAAUUCUCUUUUGACUUGCGAAUAUGCACACUAAUGAAUACUUAAAAUUUUAACUCCAAAUCGAACUGCAAAUCUAUUCCCACUUAAAUCAUCUUGACCCAAAGUCCAUCCAAUAGCAAUUGGACCAGUGUCCAUAGUAAGAAUCAUUGGUCUAUUGCACUUAUAAUCAACCUUCUUCAAUAUUGGAGGUGACAUCAAUAAUUUCUUUAAUCUUUGCAUUGUCUGAAUAUGCCUUUCUUUCUAUUUAAAUCGGUAGUCCUUGCAUAACAGUUCAUAUAAUGGAUCCACUAUGUAAGCAUAAUGAGGGAUCCAGAUUUGAUAAAAUACACAUGCACCUAAAAACCUGCGAACCUCUGUUAAAGAAUCACAAUCCUCUUUCAUCCUUCCAAUUGCAUCAACUUUAGUCGGAUUUGGUUUUCUUCUAUAAGAUCCUCAUAAAUGUCCAACAAUCACAACCUCUUGUACUCCAAAUAUGGACUUCAUAUCCGAUAAUGUAAGAUGAACUUCUCCAAGCCGAGUUAAAAUCUUUUCACAAUCUUGUAUAUGAUCAACAACAUAUUUGCGACACCUCCUCUUAUCUAAAGUUUCUUCCUUAUCUCCUUCUGUGCACCCUUUUAUAUGAACAUCAUCCAGAAAAAGCAUAGUCUUCUGUGGAAUAAAAUCUCUCAAUACCUUAUUCAUCCCAUUCAUCAUAUGCGCAACUGAGUUGGUCACGCCUUGAGGAAGAGUGUACAUUCUAACCAAUCCAAGUAGUGUCCUCAUUGUUGUCAUAUCUCUACUUCCUUCGACAAGUUGAAAUUGAUCAUAACUUGAAUAUAAGACACCCAUUGAAUAGAUCGCCCUUCUUGUAAACGCCUUAACAAAUUCAUCCACAAUAUGUCCAAUUCUUGCAUUCCUGAAAGUUACCACAUUCACCGGUUGCAUAUCUUGAAUAAAACGUAGUGACCCAUUCUCGUUAGGUACCGUAAACCAUCGACUAGAAUAUGGCACAAAUGAGGGUUCCAAUAUUUUCAUCUUCAUCUUUUCUUUUAAUAGUUCUACUAAUUUAGGUAAAUGUGUCCUCGGUACUGGAAUCGGUCUUAGAUUCCAAAGUACAUGCAGUACAGUGAAGAUAACCAUAGGUGUUAUAAUAUUCGGAUCUACACACCCAAUUUCAUAAGAUUCGAAGGCAAACGAUCUACCUUGUUUAGCCAACAUCUUUCUGAAGCAAGUAAUUUCUUCCAGUAAUAAAGAACCAUCAGAACCAAUCUUCAAUUCUUCAAAAGUCUCUUUAAUAAACUGAUGUCCAAUACUCAUUGGAUCUCUUAAACUUGCUUCUUUUGAUGCUUCUCCCAUUUGUCCUUUAGAAUCUUUUGGCAAUGGUCUAGCAAUAGGCUUUACCUUCUUAUCUGCCGUUUUAUAUCUCGUCUCUACAGUUACUUCUGGUGCUUGAAAAGAUUCAAGUAUGAUAUAAACCUCUCUUGAAUGAAUCUCAAACAAUCUUAUCAUUAUCCCCUAACCCAAUAGAUGUAAUCAAUUCCAAUGAAUCUUCCACUCCAUUUUCUUCAUAAACAUCUAAAAUCCUCUCAUCAUCUUGCAAUGUACCUAACUUGCGUAAUUCUCUUUUAAUAUUAUAUAAUCUUUUUCUUUCUUUUCUUUUAAAAUCAUCAACUUUUUUAUACAUAAUAUUUCCAUUCUCCAAUAUACCAAUAAAACUCGCAUCAAAGGUACCUUCAUCUCGCGAGAGUACCUCCUCUUUUGCACCUCCAUAAUCUCGCUUUAUAGUGGUACCUCCUCAAAAUCCUUAAAUCCUUCAACAAUCUUUGGCAAUGGUUUCUCCCUCAACCUAUCUCGAUUCCGUUCAUGGUUAGGAAGUACUGUUAGAAAUUGUACAGCUUUCCUCCCAUCUUUGCUACGUACCCUUGCAUAAGCAGAACCAUCGUCAAGUACUCUUGUUUCCAUUCGUGUUGCCAUAAUAUAAGGUUGUCCUAAAAUCAACGGAUAAGACGUUGUAUCUUGAACAAAGAAAUGUUGCUCCAUCACAACAUCCCCAAUCCAAAUUUUGACAUCUGGACAAGCUCCAUAUAAUUUGCCCCGUGUGUUAUUAGCUGCUCGAAUUACCCAUCCAGGUUCCACAUCAAUUGGCCAUUUUUGCUUCUUAUAAAGAUCUUUAGACAUGAGAUUUAUUUCAGAACCAUGGUCGACUAAAGCAACAUUUGGUUCUUCUAUAUCUCCUACUUUCACCAAUACCUCAGUAGUUGCGCUUGUCCAAUGCUUUCGAGUAUAAUAGCUCAAAGUUUCCAUUUCCUUGUCACUAGAAUCUUUGAAACGUACUCGUUGAUUAUACCCAUUCUUUUCAUUUGUUGGUUGCUUGUAACCAAUAUCAACCUCUUCUUCAUCUUUAUAUAUUUUUGCAUCAAUAGCAUGAUUCAUUCCAGUUUCGUCCAUUAAUUGCCUCUUUCGCUUAAUGCUGUCAAUGAUAACAUCAUGAAACUCCUUCUUUGCAAUUCCCAAGACUUCUUUCAAUGUGAAUUCCACCUUAGCAUUUAAUAUACGUUCUUCCAACACUCCUUUCAAAUUUUUUGCUGCUUCAAUGUCAGAAAGUAGCUUAUAAGCAAUUGAUUUGCCCUUAUCUUUUGUCUCCCUUGUUUUUUCUUCCAAUGAUGCUGAGGUAUCUUUUACAAGCAAUUCUUGUGAAGCUGCCUCCCGAGCCUUGUCUCCUCGAGUUUGCCUCUUAGAAGAAUUUCCUUCUCUUAUAUCAUCAAAAUUUCCUUGUCUCUUUUCUUCCAUCAAAGCUUCAUGUUGGUUCUUAGCAAUAUAUGCAUGAACUGAAAGAGACUCAACAAGAUCCUCCCAACCUGUUGCACUUCGUAUUGUAGCUGCAGUCCUCAAUAACGCUUCUCGAGGUGAUUUCCCUUCUUACAUUGUAGAAAUGGCAAAAGCCCAAAACUCACUAGUUUUUGUACUUCUACCAAGGUCAUCAUCUACUCUAGCACCAUAACUUGCACUUUCUCAUGCUGCUGUUUUAUGCUCUUUUAAGUAAUCUUGAACCAAUGCUCUCAUUCUUUGUUUGCCAAAAUUGGUUUGAUGAAGAUCCUCCCUAUCUUUUAAUGCUAUCUUUCUAUCUUUUUAGCAAAUAAUUCCUUGCUGUAUCAUAUUAUUAAAUUCAUUGCAAUCUUUCCUAGUGUGAGAAGCAUCAUUAUACCAAAUGCAUCUUUGUACAUAUCCUUGUUUUGAAACAUUCUUCAAAUUAUUUGUAGAAGUAUUGUCUCCAAGUCUUGCCAAUUUGAUUUGAAGAUCUCGCAUUCCUCGUAUAAUUUCUUCCAUCCCCAUAUCUGCUUUCUUUGAUAAGGAUGUCGAAGGUUGAACUGUAGGCAUUGUUGGUGGUGUUGUACAUACUGGAGCUUUGGGUGCUUGUACUGUUUUUGGAAUAUUGCUCCUAUCCUUCCUCCUUUCUUUUUUUGUAAGCAACUCCACCGCAUCUUCAACGUUCUUCCACUUCGUUGUGAAUCCUUCAUCUUCUUCUUUGUCUUCAAGAAGGAGUUUUAAUUUCUCUUGCAAUUCUCCAUCAACAGCUUGAAGAAAUAGAUCAACUUUGUUCGGCUCCAAUGUCAAUUUUUCUACCUUCGACAAUUGAGAGUACUGCCUCUCAAAUUCCCUUAGUAGCUCUGUUGCUUGCAAAUUCUUAUUGGGCCGUUCAAUCCAUUCCAGAAACAGCUUCUUAAUAACGCGAUCAGCAUCUUCCAAGAAAUAUUCGUGUUUCAAUGCAUGUAAAAAAUACCUCCCAUGAAUUCCCAUAACGAUCUGUAAUCGAUGUAAUAUGGUCACUUAUCUCUGGUAUCAUGGCAAGUCCAAAUAAUUCAACCAUUUUCUUCUCAGAAACCCGAUUUAAUUCCAUUUCACGAACAUAACAUCUUAAAUACCUUGAAAUAUUCUUCCCAUCAAAUUGAUCAAUUUUAUUGACCACUGCUUGCAAUGCUUUGGUUGCCAAAGCUUCCUUUCGAUCAUUGCUUUGUUGUUGCUGUAUUGAUAAUGAGAAGGCUUGAAACAUACUAGCAAUAGAUGGAUCCAUGUGCAUACCUUGUCCUUUAGAAGAAUCUCAAUCAGAAACUCCUCCCAAAAAUCCUUCAAAAUUUUUAUUUUCGUUUUCUAUAAAAUAAAGAUAAGAUCAAUUGAAAUCGAAUACCUUCCACCUCAAGCUUUCAAGUCGGGUUCACCACUUAUGUCGUAUUACGUGCUUUUCUGCUCGAGAACGCGUCGGACGUAUGGCUGUAGAAGGUAGUAUGGAGAUUCGCCAAUAUUCAAGCAGUUUAUCGGUUUUUGACUAUUGGAAUACAAACAACUGCAAGAAUAUACCGUAAAUCUAUACGGAUGCCCUUCGACUACUUGUCAAAGUCCUUUUUACCCAAGCUGGUAGGUCUCUAGACGUUAUAGAGAACCCCGAACAACCCAAACUGCUAAUCUUCGAUACCGCUUUAUACUCACGAUCUUGUAUCCACUGACUGUGUUGUUAAAUUAAUCCAAUAAAUUUCAUUCACUCCGCAUACUCAGUCCUAUAGACACCCUUUUAACACUUCAUCACAGACGUAACUCGAUUUCACAAAACAGUCAAGAGUAAUCAAACCCACUUCAUUAAAAAUCCUGAUUCACCAUUACAACACUGACUUCAGCAAUGAUUGCCUCAGUCUUCCCAAAACCCUAUGAAGAAAAAAAAUCCAAUUCUUUGUCUUUUUUUCCCUUCCUGAAGCGUGAAGCUAGUUCUCUGAUCCUUCAAAAAACCCCCCAAAACUCUUCUCUCCUCUCAUUUCUUAACCUUAAUUCUAAAUUUCUUCAAUCUUCCAUCUUGGAUCCGAAAUUGGCUCCCGCCGUCAGAGCUUGGAUCCAAAAUUGGCUCUUGCCGUCAGAGCUUUCUCCUCCAUUUUUACCUUUAAGAGAUCCUUUUAUCGAAAAUAACGUUCCCUGAAACGGCACAGAGAACAGGACAGCUUAAAACAGAAUCGAAACCUCAUAAUCGGGACCACAUUGAGUUGCCCGACCAAUUCACGUCUCACAAUUCAGGUCUCAUAUUGGCUAAGAGGCUCGUAGUAACGUGGAUGUUCUCGAAAUUGGUCCGCAUUGGAUUGUCUGACCAAGUCAGGUCUCAUAUUGGAUAAGAGGACCCGGAUUGGAUGUCUUGAAAUUGGAUCCAAUUGGCUCUUUAAACCAGGCUCAUCCGUCGUUGAAUUGGUCCAUUCCCUUUCUGCUGACUUCCGUUAUUGGAAUCGAACGGAGCAUUUCAGUAUGCCCUGGCUGACUAUAAUGGGGUGACUGAACCUGGCCUCUCAGUAUUUGCACUGGAGUUGGUUGUUGCUCUCAAUAUUCGAGGUAACUGAAUAUUAAUAAAAGUCCCCUUACUUUAUAUUUUCACGGUAUACUCGUGUUAAAACAUGACACCGUAAGAGAGGAAAGGCUGGUACUCUUGAUUGUUGAUGGAAUGGAAAAUACUUCUGUGGUUGAAAUUCACAGUUGUCUAGAAGGUUGAGUAUGCUGAAUGCAUGCGUGGUUGUGUUAAUCUGAUUGUACGGAUAGAGGAUAUCUACCAACAGUUUAAAGAAGUAUUGGGAGUUGGCAAAUUGGGGGUUGUUUAGGAUUUCUAUGAUAACUAGGGAUCUAUCAACAGGGAUAAGAGAAAUAUCGAUGAGCGGCCAAGGGACAUUAGUGCGGAUUGCAGCAUAGCCUCACAAUUUGUAAGCGGGGUUGAACUGGAACUUCUCGAGCAUUCGAAAGGGCUUGCAGAGACACUAGCGAUAGAUGUUUCACAAUAAGUCAGAAGGACAGAUUGAGGAUCACAGCUUGCCGAAGUUCACGGUUUAGGAUUAAAGUAAUUAACAAUAAAGAUAAAAUAUAAAAUAUAAAAUAAAUAAAAUAAAAUAAAAAUAACCAAAGAAAUUGAAGUUAUAUAGGGUCUCUAGGCAUUUUAUAUUGGAAUUAAGCUUUUACAUUGCAAUCCGAUAUAGAUUGUAUUUGGGUAGUCAAGAACCUGAUAGACUGCUUGAGUACUAGUGAAACACCAUACUACCUCCUACAACCAGAUGCCCGAUGCGUUCUCAAGCAAGAUAGUACGUAAUACGAUAGCGUCCAACUUAUAAGACACAUGUCUAAUUUACAAUGCAAGUUUCUUAAGUGUGAGCCAUAUGUUUAAUUUAUACUACAGGUAGUCAACAUGUUGAUACGUGGCCUCCUUAUUGGCCAAGUUUUCAACCUACCAAUCACCUGUAGACAUGUAUAAAGUCAAAGCAGUGUCUUUGAAGCUUGUAGGAAGCUUUCCACAAGAUAUUAUCAUAUUUAUCUACUUUGACUCACUUCUACCUACUCUUAUUAUCUAGAUAAUUAUCAAGGUAAAUAUGUAUACAUGUCAGUGACAAUUGGUGGCUAAAUGUGCAUUAUGAAAUUAAAUAAAACUAUCAUUUAAUAUACAAAUGUCUCAAUUAUAAUUAUUAUCAAUUAUAGAUUUAUAUUAUAUAUGAAAUUUGGACUUUAAACAACUAUUACUAAUUUUAUCUUAAGUCAAUAAGUAUGUGUUGGUGAUGAUUGAGUACUUUUCUAAGUAGAUAGAAGUAAUGCUAUUAUCUAAUAAAUUUAGUAAAAGAAUUACUAAUACUUUUUCAGACAAAUUUUUGUCCUGAUUUGAGACUUUAAUAUAAGUUUUUAAUAACCAAAGAAGAAAAUUUCUUAAAGAAUUUGAAAUUAUAUAUGAAAAAGCAUGAAUUGAUUAUAAAAGAACUUUAAGGAAUUAUCCAAAAAUAAUUGGUUUGGAAAAUACAUAGUACAACUUAUAAAAAGAAUGCUUUAAAUAAUAUAAUUUAAAUAAGACCAUCAUAAAGCUUGAAACUUAUAAUUUUAUUCAUUAAUAAUGAAUUAUAGAUUUAUCAAGCAAGCUUCAUUAGCUUUAUUUUUAUCUUAUUUUUUAUUAUAUUACAAAGAUUAAGUGUUAUAUAAAGCUAUCAAAAGAAAUAUUGAUACCAUAUAGUUAUUAUAGAUUAUUCAAAUGUAUGAGCAUCAAUUUAUAAGAAAUAGGUAGACUUAUGCAAAUAGUUAAUGUCAAUUGCUAUCAAAAAUAUGAGUAUUGUGCAAUAUUGAAAUACUUUCAAGUAUAUUAUGAUUUGAAGUAGGAAUUACAAGCCAUAUAUAAAGAGUUUUUUUUAAGAAAUUAUGUCUACUUGCAACAAACUACAUCAACAACUUUAGAUGUAAUAAGAAGAUAUUUCAUUCUAUGUUUACAAGAGAUUUUCAAGUCAAGAGCAUUGAUACUAGAAGGUUGUAAUAGAAGGACUUAAAAGAAUUGUACAUGCAAUUGUGCACCAUUUUAUUUGCCACAUAUCAAUGGUAGAAUUAAGACUUAGUUGUCAUAUAUUGUCAAGAACAAGAACAAGAUAAAGACAAAUGAUAAGUGAGACUUUUCUCAAAGAAAGAUGAAAAAAUAGAAAUAACUUGAUAUAUACAUUAAGAAAGAAACUAGAAUGGCUAUUGCCAAAAGCCAAGAAAACCAAAGACCCUUGAAACUAGACUGGAAGCAAGAAAGCAGUUGACAAGAGUGAAGAAGGCUUCACUCUUAUCUCUACAUAUACUAUCUAACUAGAGGCUAUGUGGCAAUGUUCUAUAGGACCUCCAAUAUGUGUUGACUUUGUAAGACAUAUGCCUUGACUUACAAGGCAAGUUUUUUUACAUGUAGGCCACAUAAUUAGCUUGAUCUCUAAGCUAACAUGUGUAGCACAUGGCCAACUUGUUGACCACGUUUUUAAUCCAAAAAGUCAAUUAAAGACACCUAUAAAGUCAAAGCAACAUCUUUGAAGCUUCUAGGAAGCAUCUAUACCAAAUACUAUAGAAUUAAUUUACUUUUAUCUACUUUUAUUUACUUCUACCUAUUUAUAUAUAUAAUUACAGACUUACAUGAGUAUGUCCAUGACAUUACUCCUCCUUCUAGGGACGAGUUCCACAAGGAGCGGUCAUCAUAUGUUGAGAAAAUCUAUAAUGUGACAAAUUGUAUUUGCCACAUACUCUGAUCUUUGUUCUCUUUGAAGAUGAUUGAUAGGGCCUCUCAACCAUCGGUAGUGUCCCAUACCAGGGCAGUGUCGUAAUACAUGAAGUCUUGCUUGAAAAUGCUCCGAGCACCUAGCUGUGGAAGGAAGAAUGGAAAUUGCAAUAAUAAAAUCCUAAUUCUAAUAGAAUACUAACAAUGCUCUAAUUAGACUAUAAUAAUACUAAGCAAGCUUAAUCAAAUUCAAAAAAAUCUCAAAGAAAUUUCAAACAAACAAUAAAAAUUCUUAAAGAAAUAAUAGAAGGAUCACAAUUAUCACUCAAAUACAUCUCAAUUCAAUCUUAAUUUAAUUCUAGUUAAAAUCCUAUUAAAUUUCAUUAAAACUUUAGGCCAAACCUAAUUAAAUCUUAAAUCCUAAUAAAAUCCUAUUAAACUUCAUUAAAACUUUAGGCCAAACCUAAUUAAAUCUUAAAUCCUAAUAAAAUCCUAAACCGUAAAUCAAACCCUAAAUAAAUCUUAAACCAAAUCCUCAAUCAAAUCCUAAAUCAAAUCCUAAAUCCUAAAUCAAACCCUAACAAAAUCCUAAUCCAAAUCCUAAAUAAAAUCCUAACCAAACCCUAAUCCAAAUCCUAAAUAAAACCCUAACCAAAUCCUAAACCUAAUCCUAAAUCCUAACCAAACCCUAAACCAAAUCCUAACCAAAUCCUAAUACAAAUCCUAAAUCCUAAAUCCUAAAUCAAAUCCUAAAUCCUAAAUAAAACCCUAAUCAAAUCCUAAACCAAACCCUAAAUCCUAAAUAAAAUCUUAACUAAAUCCUAA
rnacentral:lncRNA from 1 species